UAGUCCAAAAGGAAUGUCCCUUGAUACCAUAAACAAAAAAUACCAUGUCUGCUUUUUAUUCAAUAAUAAUAAUACAAAGAUGACUGAUCCAAACAAUUUUAAGCUCAAACACAAUGUUAUAAGGUAAGAUAAGAACUAAUGUCACAAUAUUACAGGUAAAUCGUUUUUUUUCUUCCUGUUUUUCAAUUUUUAUCACUAUAAUAUUUUCUAUUCCAAAUCUUUAAGAUCCUCAUCCAUUGGUAUGGUAUAGAAGAAGUGUUCAAUUUGCUCGACUGCAUUAUCCUCGCCCUGUGUCUUGUUUCCUCUCUUUAUUGGAGCUAGGCUCUCCUUGUAAUUGAAAACCCAACAGCCAGCAAUGUUAAGGUCCAGCUGAAAUCCAAGAUCUGUAACUUGUCUUGUUGUAGGGUCAUAUAGCACCAGCUGUGAAGUUUCUGUGAUCUCAAAAACCAUGUUAUCGUUAUCCCAGAUGUUGCGAGGCCAAUGAGCAUCUAUAUGAGGUUGUACAGUUAGAACUUUGGACCAAAUUCCCUCUUGUUCAUACCCACACAUCAUAUAUGGAUGUCAUAGGUUUGCCAGGGUCACCGGUUAAUAAAGCAAGUGAGUUGCCACGCAAUGUAAGCGUCCCCCAAUGUUCACUUGGAAUAUCUGGGACUUGCAUCUCCCUAAACUGUUCGCUGCCCAUGUCAAAAGAGCGAAUCGUGUAGAUCUCAUCAAGGCCCCUAGAAAGCCAAUAAUAAACCCCGUUGAGAUAAGUGGCAUCAAGGGGUGCAGAUAAGGUAGAACUGGAAGGGAAUUCAGGAGUUAGGUGUUUCCAUGAGUUGUUGCAUGAGGAAUAAACACAGGCAUAGACACGAGGACAAACACCUUGUCCCGGUUCAUCCCAGAAUACUCGAAUCCAUACAACCUUAUAAUCUUGAGUCAACAGGUCAAAUCCCAAUCCGAACUGAUGAUCAUGGUCCGAGAAAAAGUACUCAAUCUCAAAAGGCGCAGGCGGCAGAGACCUGAACUCUCUGGUGGCAGGAUUCCACAAACCCAAGCAGACAUUGUCUCCAUAAAACUUCUUCUGCACUAAGAAUAAGCCAUCAACUGGACCAGCAACACACGUGAAAUCAGCGACCCUCGGAAGCUGAAGGAGAGUUUUUUGUUCAGGGGUCACACCUGGAACAAUUUCUUCAGGGAGCAAGGAGAAUACAACAGACCUUACGAUGGCGUCUACUUCACGUGCUACUUUCAAGUUGCAAACAAGGAGACGGGCACGAUUGUUCUUGUGAUGAAAAUGUUUUUCUAUGAAACUCGGACUUUUGAUGAGAGCAUACCAGUGCUUGCACACACAUUUGAAAAGCAAGAGUGAUUCCACUGGCAAUCUCAAUAGAAUAUCAACUACUAGAUCUUCUGGUAAAGGACAGCGACCAUCCAUACUGGUGGAAAUAUAAGUAGAAUGAGGCAACUUACAAACAUAUUGAAAGAGAGCAGAUCUAGAAAACAUGCAUUAAUAGAACACACAGUGCAACAAAAAAGAUCAAGUAGUAGCAUUACCAUGUGAAGCAAAAAAGGGGAAGUUACAAAUUUGACCACUCAGCCACAAAUAUUUACAUCCGCAAGCCAUUACACAUAUAUUAUGGGUAUACAUAUUUUUAAAAAUAUUUUGACAAAUCUUCUUGUAGAUCAAUUUUGGAGAAAAGAUCCAAAAUAGUUCCUUAUGUUUGGCUUCAGACUCAAGGUCAUCCCUUCCCUUUCUUUUAUAUGGUGCACUAAUAGUCCUUUAAGUUUCAAGUAUUAGUGCACUUUUAAUCUCUUCAUUAACAUCCAUUUACUCAUUAACGUUUUGAUCCUUUACACAUCCAUUUAUGGCCUCCGCUGUAUACGUUCUGGUAUAACACAAAUUAAUUCUUAGAUUUAUCUUAGCAGUUGCAGAUGAGUCUUCAUUUGUACUUGUUUUAUUUUUUGGCUCUGCAUCUUUCAUUGUUUGGUGUGCACCAUUCAAGAUUUGCUAAUUCUUUAACUUUCUCCUCUAUUUUCCAUACGCAAUUAAUAAGCUGACUAUAAGUCUUUGGGUUUUCCUGAAUAAAAGCUGACUAUAUAUCUGAAACAUAACCAAAGAAUAAAAUAAAAACAAGAAAAAAGGAAAAAUAUAAUACAUACUUAGUCUUCGUGUAUCAAUAUCUCAAAUUAGCAUCGGAUAAAAGUGCACUAAUACUUAAAACUUUGGAGGACUAUUAGUGCACCAAUUGAUGAUUUCGAAUCUAAAGCCAAAAAUAAAGGACUAUCUUGUAUUUUUUCUUUCGAUUUGGGCUGAUAUGGUUUGGACGGAUCAAUAAUCAGCCAAAUAGAGUCAAUAAGAGGAGACUAGUAAAGAAGUAGUCAUGCGGUUUUCUAGUCUUUUCAUUAACUAGUCAAUAAUUAUUUUUAAAGCUACAUAUCAAGUUAGCAUAUAGAGCAAUUUUGCAGGUAAUUUAAGGAUUAAGGAGCAUGAAACAGUAAUUACCCUUUUCUACUAAUAUCAAUCUACAAAUCCUUGGAAAUGGAACAAUUUUAACUUGCCCAAUAUUGAAAUGUAAAAGAUGGAAAGAAAUAAAAAGAAUUAGCAUAAACAGAAACAAUGACAGCAAAACCCUAUAUCCAUCCCCAAAUAGCACAAAUUCAGAUUCAGAUUCAGAUUCAAAUUCAAAAAAAUAAUCAGAAAUCUAACCUUAUAAGCUGAUGAAGAAGAAGUGCCGCAAUUACGACAAGGUAAAAAUGGAAAAAGAGAUUGGAUUGAUUGAGUGGUGUUGUAGAAAUACCUCCAACAGUUGACUACUUCCUCACUUUCCUACACUUCUUUUGUCAUUUUAGUUUAUAUAACUCCCCUUAAUUCCUUUUAUCCAAGUUUUUAAUACCAAGGGAUAUGAUGGAGUAAUAAGUACUUAUUCAUUGUUAAUUAGAGGUCUUGGAUUUGAAUCUUUUGGCUAUGAAGUCAUCCGUGUUAGGGAGCACUUUACCCAUAAUGUGAGAUUUUUCGACUGGGCUCUAAUAUGGAUACCGAACAUUGAGCGAUUUUUCUUUUUUUACCUUAGUGGUCAUUUGGUAGGUGGAUAAAGCUACAUCUAAUACAUGAAUCACUACAAGAAAAGUGCUGAUUACCUGGGAAUUAUUGUAGAGAAUAUAUGAUAACCCUAAUGGGUGGAGGGAGGACCAAUUUAUAGAGGUUAUGAUUUAAUCUGGUAUAUCCAUCAAGUAACCAAUGUACGGACGAGAUCUAUUCCUUAUUAAAUAUUAUUUAUGGUAUUACUUGCGUUACUAGUAAACUUGAGCCAUAAGUAAGAAAUAAUUAAUAAUAAUUAAUAAUAAUUCUUACACUUCGGGGUGCCUUCGCCAUAGUUCAAGUCUGGAGUCGGCCAUUUCAGUUCUUGAAAGCUUUUAAUCUAGCUAGUGUUAUUCAUAGUACUUCCGUGUACUUAUCGACCUUAUGUGAGUCCAAACUCGUUUGAGUUAUACAUUUACUUUCUAAUUGUGCACGAGUAUACAUACUUUCUAGGCUUAUAGAGGUCCAGUUAGGUUAUAGAUUAUUGCUUUACUUUACUACUUCGUUCUUUUCAGACUCGUGAGCUAUAUAGUUAGACUUUCCGUUAUUGCUUUGUUCAUUUGACCUCUAAUUACUGUUACUUUCAUAUUCUUCAUAUUGUUUUUACUUUCCAAGUUCAGUUGACCUAUGAUGCCUACUGGACACCUGUUGUUCUGAUAUUCAUGCUACACUCCACAUCUGUUUUCUUGAUGUGGAUUUGAGCGCCAGCCGACAACGGUGAUUGGAGCCUAAGUAAUGCGGAGAUCUUCUGAGAUGAAUGGUGAGCUAAUGGCGUCCUAGUUCGACUUAUCUCCAUAUGUAUAUAAUUUUUUACAUGUCUUUUGUAUUCGAGACAAAUUUAUUAAGUUAGUCAAUAGCAUAGGCUCGAAACUAUGACUAGAACAUUGAGUGCAUGACAUGCACAUCUUACUCCUUACUUUCCUUAUUCGUGCCUGUUUUUUUCAUACUUUCUAACUUUCACUAGUACAUUAUCCCUUGUUAAGGAAAAUUAUGUAAACAAAAUAGUAAAUGGCCUGAUCCACUUAAGAGUGAGGGCUAGUUCAUUGAUUGAUACAGCUAAAUCACAUUAAAUAAUAAAUACGGAGGAGGGCCUAAAAUACCCUUCAAGUAUAGGUAAUGGAACAAAAAUACCCUCUUCCACCUUUAGGCUCCAAAAUACCCUUCCAUCCAUCUAUAUGGACCUAUAUUACCCUUUCACUUAACAGAUUCUUUAAGACUAAUAAUUAAUCUUUUCAUUAAUGAUGUGACAGUCUUUAAUUGGUUGAAAUUGGAAUUAACCAAAAUAAGAAUUUCUCUUAAUUAAACCCAGAUCCAACUAAAUUCCACCCGACUCACUUAAAAUUCUAUUGACCCAUAUCUUAAAUAAUCAAACUUCAAUCAACAACUUGCUCCAGUUAUUUUUAAUCCCAGUCAAAAAAGAGGUACAUUAGACCAUAAACAACAUGAAACUUCCGAAAAUUCCCUGGAAACAUUCCAAGAAGGAAGAAGUGAAAUACAAGAUCAAGUGCCACUAUAAUCAUAUACCAAUAUACACCAUAUUUUGAAACACUAUGAAAAGUCCAGCAAAUCUCCAAUCUCUGGGAAACAUAAACUCAAAGCGGUAAAAUUUCUCAAAAUCCGAAACCCUAGAGUUCAAAAAUUAUUUCACUUCUUUCUUUUUUGCGAUUCAUAUAAAGCACCGCACGCAAAAAGCAAAACCAACAUAAUUUUGGGAAAUUCUCAAAGCAGAAUCAUGGAAUAGAAUAUAAAAAAAAAAUAAAAAAUUUAGCCAUAGCAAGAGAUUAUAUACUUGAUGAAGAAAAGCGAUAGAUAUCGCUUUUCUUCAUCUGCAAAUUUUACGAGAAAAUUAUAUGGAGAGAAAUUCAGUGUACAGAGAAAAAAAAGGAAACUCACCGCUACACACUCGAUUCUUCUUGUUUUUUUUUAAAGAUAUGGGUCAGUAAAAUUUUACGUGGGUUGGGUAGAGUUUAGUUGGAUCCGGGUUUGAUUUGGAGAAAUUAUUGUUUUUGCUUAAUCUAAAUUCCAGCCAAUUAAAGAUUGUCACAUCAUUAAUGAAAAGAUUAAUUAUUACUCAUAAAAAAUCUGUUAAGUGAAAGGGUAAUAUAGGUCCAUAUAGAUGGAUGAAAGGGUAUUUUUGAGCCCAAAGGUGGAUGGAGGGUAUUUUUGUUCCAUUCCCUAUACUUGAAGGGUAUGUUAGGCCCUUCUCCGUAAUAUAUAUUACAUUUUUGAACUGUUAAACUAGAAACAAGAUUUAGGAUUUUUCAAGUGGACCAAAAUACAGAUAUUGAUGCCGAGUACUUAAAGUCUGUUGCUUGCCGAUACUCUAAAAGUAGUAGUGUAUUUUUGGAGAAUCUAACAUGAGUGGAGAGUACACGCGCAACUUAGCUUAAAUUGUGUUGGUCCAAAAGGAAUGCCCCUUGAUACCAUAAACAAAAAAUACCAUGUCAGCUUUUUAUUCAAUAAUAGUACAAAGAUGACUGAUCCAAACAAUUUUAAGCUCAAACACAAUGUUAUAAGAAGACAAGAUACGAACUAAUGUCACAAUAUUACAGGUAAAUCGUUUUUUUUUCUUCCUGUUUUUCAAUUAUUAUCAUUAUAGUAUUUUGUAUUCCAAAUCUUAACGAUACUCAUCCAUUGGUAUGGUAUAGAAGAAGUGUUCAAUUUGCUCGACCUCGCCCUGUGUCUCGUUUCCUCUCUUUAUUGGAGCUAGGCUCUCCUUGUAAUUGAAAACCCAACAGCCAGCAAUGUUAAGGUCCAGGUGAAAUCCAAGAUCUGUAACUUGUCUUGUUUUAGGGUCAUAUCGCACCAGCUGUGAAGUUUCUGUGAUCUCGAAAACCAUCUUAUCAUUAUCCAAGAUGUUGCGAGGCCAAUGAGCAUCUAUAUGAGGUUGUACAGUUAGAACUUUGGACCAAUUUCUGUCUUGUUUCAUUACCCACACAUCGUAUAUGGAUGUCAUUGGUUUACCAGGGUCUCCGGUUAACAUAGCAAGUGAGCCGCCAUGCAAUGUAAGUGUCCCCCAAUGUUCACUUGGAAUAUCUGGGACUUGCAUCUCCCCAAACUGUUCGCUGCCCAUGUCAAAAGAGCGAAUCGUGUAGAUCUCAUCAAGGCCCCUACAAAGCCAAUAAUAAACCCCGUUGAGAUAAGUGGCGUCAAGGGGUGCAGAUAAGGUAGAACUGGGAGGGAAUUCAGGAGUAAGGUAUUUCCAUGAAUUGUUGCAUGAGGAAUAGACACAGGCAUAGACACGAUUAUUAGCACCUUGUCCCAGUUCAUCCCAGAACACUCGAAUCCAUACAACCUUAUAAUCUAGAGUCAACAGGUCAAAUCCCAAUCCGAACUGAUGAUCAUGGUCCGAGAAAAAGUACUCAAUCACAAAAGGCGCAGGAGGCAGAGACCUGAACUCUCUGGUGGCAGGAUUCCACAAACCCAAGCAGACAUUGUAUCCAUAAAACUUCUUCUGCACUAAGAAUAAGCCAUUAACUGGACCAGCAACACACGUGAAAUCAGUGAUCCGAAGCUGAAGGAGAGUUUUUUGUUCAGGGGUCACACCUGGAACAAUUUCUUCAGGGAGCAAGGAGAAUACAACAGACCUUACGAUGGGGUGUACACGUGCUACUUUCAAGAUGCAAACAAGGAGGCGGGCACAAUUAUUCUUGUGAUGAAAAUGUUUUUCUAUGAAACUCGGACUUUUGAUGAGAGCAUACCAGUGCUUGCACACACAUUUGAAACGCAAGAGUGAUUCCACUGGCAAUCUCAAUAGAAUAUCAACUACUAGAUCUUCUGGUAAAGGACGGCGACCAUCCAUACUGGUGGAAAUAUAAGUAGAAUGAGGCAACUUACAAACAUAUUGAAAUAGAAUAGAUCUAGAAAACAUGCAUUAAUAGAACACACAGUGCAACGAAGAAGAUCAAGCAGCAGCAUUACCAAUGUGAAGCAAAAAAGGGGAAGUUACACAUUUGACCACUCGGCCACAAAUAUUUAUAUCCGCAAGCCAAUACACAUAUUAUGGGUAAACAUAUUUUUAAAAAUAUUUUGACAAAAUUUCUUGUAGAUCAAUUUGGGAGAAAAGAUCCAAAAUAGUUCUUUAUGUUUGGCUUCAGACUCAAAGUCAUCCCUUCCCUUUCUUUUAUAUGGUGCACUAAUAGUCCUUUAAGUUUCAAGUGUUAGUGCACUUCUAGUCUCUUGAUUAACAUCCAUUUACUCAUUAACGUUUUGAUCCUUUACACAUCCAUUUAUGGCCUCCGCUGUAUACAUUCUGGUACAAAACAAAUUAAUUCUUAGAUUUAUCUUAGCAAUUGCAGAUGAGUCUUCAUUUGUACUUCGUUUUAUAUUUUGGCUCUGCAUCUUUCAUUGUUUGGUGUGCAGUAUUCAAGAUUUGCUAAUUCUUUAACUUUCUCCUUUAUUUUCGAUACACAAUUAAUAAGCUGACUAAGUCUUUGGGUUUUUCCUGAAUAAAAGUUUCUUGCGCUUUGCCUAUAUAUCUGGAGCAUAACCAAAGAAUAAAUAAAAACAAGAAAAAAGGAAAAAUAUAAUACAUACUUAGUCUUCGUGUAUCAAUAUCUCAAAUUAGCAUCGGAUAAAGGGUGUGUUCCGUAGAAAAUAGUUUCUAAUCAAAAUUUUUGGAAAAGAUUUUCUUAGGAAAACAAGUUCCAUACGUGACACUUCAAAAUUCAAAUGAAGAAAAUGACUUUCUAAAGGAAGUAGGGAAAACAAGUUUCAUAUGUGACAUUUCAAUUGAGUAUGUCCUCCCACUCUCUAAGACACCACAUAUUCACCUCACUCCCGUAGCUUCCAUACCCACUACCCUACACAUCUACCCCACCUCCGUCCCUCAUAGUAUUGUCUAGAUAAUACAUAAAUGCUUUUAGAAUAAUAUUAAAUUUUUUUUGCUUAUAUACCAAACACAAAAUAUACAUAAGAAUCUCACUUAUUUUCCUAGAAAAUAUUUUUCAAAAAAUAUUUUCCUUGGUACCGUACACACCCAAAGUUCCAAUGUCCUCGGAUAAUAUCAGCCAAAUAGAGUCAAUAAGAGGAGACUAGUAAAGAAGUAGUCAUGUGGUUUUCUAGUCUUUUCAUUAACUAGUCAAUAAUUAUUUUUGAGCUACAAAUCAAAUUAGCAUAUAGAGCAAUUUUGCAGGUAAUUUAAGGAGCAUGAAACAGUAAAUACCCUUUUCUGCUAAUAUCAAUCUACAAAUCCUUGGAAAUGGAACAAUUUUAACUUACCCAAUAUUGAAAUGUAAAAGAUGGAAAGAAGUAAAAAGAAUUAGCAUAAACAGAAACAAUGGCAGCAAAACCCUAUAUCCAUCCCCAAACAGCACAAAUUCAGAUUCAGAUUCAAAUUCAAAAUAAUAAUCAGAAAUCUAACCUUAUAAGCUGAUGAAGAAGAAGUGGCGGACAAGGAAAAAAUGGAAAAAGAGAUAUCGGAUCGAUUGAUUGGUGUUGUAGAAAUACCUCAACAGUUGACUACUUCCUCACACUUCUUUCGUCAUUUUAUUUUACUACUUCUUGGGAACGCGUUUGUUCCUCUCCUUUUUUUUUCUCGCGUGUGUUCCUUAUUAUUAUUAAAUUUUUAUAUACUAAAAAGUUGAGUUAUAAAAUAGAAAAUGCUGAAAUUAACAAUAGUAGUUUUAUCAUUUAUAUUUUAUUUACUAAAUAAUAAAAAAUAUAUACUGGAGCAUUUUUUGUUAACCUUCAUUUGUUGUUUCUCACUCUCUUUUCUUCUCAUGUUGAAAUUUGAUUGUGCAAUUACCUUCCUAUGAUAACAUCAAUCUUUGUGAAAUUGGUUCUUAAAAAGCAAAUUCAAAUUUUAAUUUUGGAAGUGUUUUUACAUAAUAGUGGAGAAUGAUUCUUCAUAUUCAACUUUUAAUUUUGAAUUGUAAUGAACAAUUACUAUUCAAAUACAAAUCUAGUUUAUUUUUAACCUUACAUUUAUUGAAUCUUUAAUGUGUACGUUAAUGAUAUAUAAUAAUUUAUUAAUUAGGUAUUUGAUUUAGUGUAGGGGCAAAAUGGUAAUUCAACUAUACACUUUCGAGUUUUCACUUUUAAUAAGUAAUUAUAAUAUAUACAAAAGAUUAAACCAUUUGAUAUUAAAAAAAUAUAUGUAUGAGUAAUAAUUAACAUUCAAUGGCAAAAGAAUGUAUCACAUUCUCAUAAACAAUAUCUCUAAGGCAAAAGUAGACAUUCUAAUUUGGACAAUUACUACUUAACUACUUAUGGGUUCAGCCAAUAAUCUGGAGAUAGGAGUUUGACAAUUUUUCAGCCAUAGUUAAAAUUCUACAUCAAUAAUAAAUAGCUUCUUAUCACAGUAAAUAGACAUUUGAAUAAUUAAUAUAAAUUGAGCAACACAAACUUUUCAAAAUGACUUAUUCUAGAUAUAUAAUAGGGAAAAGGGUCAAAAUUACCCCUCAGUUUUGUUUUAUUGGUUAACUUUAUCCUUACCAUUAAAAACAAGUUAUUUUUACCCCUGUCGUCAAUAAACUUAACAAAUAUACCCCUCCUUGAACGGAAACCCCCAAAUCAAUUGAAAUUACCCGAUUUUAAUUGAAAUUAUCCAAUUUCUUUUUUAACCCGAACUAGAACCCAACCCACUAAACUAAACAAAUUAACCCAUUUCCAAUCUUCUUCAUCUCAGUGUUCUUGGCUAAGUACCCUAAGAACACUCACAAUCUUUAUCAUAGCUAACACAUAAAUCCUACAUUGUCUGACAAAAUCAAUUGAAAAGGUUCGUUGGUUGAAUGUAUAACAAGUAAAUUAUUUUUGCUGAACAACAUCCCGCCUCUCUCUGUUGUGGGGUUCAGCGAAGAACAAGCCACAGAGCAAGUAAAUGGAAAAGUUUCAAUUUACACAUCAUCAUUCAAUCCAAUGAAGAAAACCAUUUCUAGGUACCAACCAAAUUACUUUUUGAUUUGUUGUCAGUAGGCUGCCCCUAAAUGUGUACCCAAUAGUACAUCUAAUUCUUCUUUACCUGGCUCGUAAAUCAAUUCAGUGGCCCUCCAUGAUUCUUGUAUGUGCACGUAAAAUUAAGCUACAAUGGAGGGGAGGUUUUUCUUUUCUCUAUCUUUUUAUUUGUUCAAAAUGUUUCCAAUAUAUCAUCAUAUUUGAUGAGUACUGGAUAUUUGAUGAUUACUGAUUUCUUGUAUGUAGCAAAUCAUGUGAUUGAACGACUGCAGUGUUUAGCCUAGGCAACCUUCAACAAACAAUUUGGAGAUAAAUAUCAGGUCUUUUCGAUUGAUUUUGUUAGACAAUGUAGAAUUUGUGUUAGCUAUGAUAAAGAUUGUGAGUGUUCUUAGGGUACUUAGCCAUGAACACUGAGAUGAAGAAGAUUGGAAAUGGGUUUAUUUGUUUAGUUUAGUGGGUUGGGUUCUGGUUCAGGUUAAAAAAGAAAUUGGAUAAUUUCAAUUAAAAUUGAAUAAUUUCAAUUGAUUUGGGGAUUUCCGUCCAAGGAGGGAUAUAUUUGUUAAGUUUAUUGACGGCAGGGGUAAAAAUAACUUGCUUUUAACGGUAAGAGUAAAAUCAACCAAUAAAAUAAAGUUGAUGGGUAAUUUUGACCCUUUUCUCUAUAUAACAUAUAUGGACAAUUUGAGGAAUGAAUGUUUCAACACAUGAAUAAUAGACUAAUAAGGUCAAUAGAUUAUACAUAUAAAUGAAAAGUUAAAUAAAAAUACAGCCUCAAAAUCACAUACUAUGAUCCAUCAUUUAUCUCCAAUUCGGUGGCCCAGUUUAUUUUAGGGUAUGGAUUCUUUUAUUUUUAAAAAAAAAACAUAUUUGAUUUUUCUCAUUUAGUUAUUCCUCUCCCUACUCAUAAAUAAUAAUCUCGAAAAAAUAUUUUUACUAAAGUAGAACACUCUAUCAAGAGCCAAAUAAACAUAUCAAAUUAACUAAUUAAUCUUUCAUCAAUUAUUGAUAGAACAUGAAUUGUAUAUCACUACUUUCUUCAUGUAGGAUACAAGAUAUUUCAAUAGAAAAACAAAAUCAUAAGAAAGCAUAUCAAAAUAUAAAAAAAGGACAUAUAAAAUACUUUGGCUGGACAAGGAGGAGCGGAUAAAAACAAAAGGAAAUUACUGCACAUACAAAAUGAUGAGCAAGAUUAGUUUUUUGCAGGAUAGUCUCUCAUCCUCCUCUUAUCAUUUACAUGAAAACCAUGCUAGGCAUUUUAUAGCAAUAGCUAGGAUGACCUUUGAGUAGAUAAUUAAUUUGCAUUAAUUUAGUUUAAUGAUUUUAGUCCAUAUCAAAUUUAUUUAAUGGAAAACUCUUCAAAUACUCUUGAUUUUACAGAAAAAGAGAAAUUGACUAUUAAUGUGAAUUUGAUUCAUGUACCAAUUUAAAUGAGUUUAAUCUAAGGAAGUGAAAAAAUCAUUAACAUUUUUAUUAAAACGAUACAAUUUAAUAUUUAAAUUAAAUAGUUAAAUAUUUUAUAACAUUUUAAUUUAUAAUAGGGGUAAAACGGUAAUUCAACUUUUAACUUUUUUUAUUCCCGCUUAUAGUAAUAUAUGAUACAACUCCUCUUAAUUCCUUUUAUCUAAGUUUUUAAUUAUGUGGUGGAGUAAUAAGUACUUAUUCAUUCUUAAUUAGAGGUUCCAGUUUGAGUCUUUUUGGCUAUAAAAUCAUCUCUGUUAGAGCGCUUUACCCAUAAUCUAAGAUUUUUCGACACAAAUUCAAAUUUAGUGAGGCUCUAAUAUGGAUAUCGAACACUGAGGGGAAAAUAAAAAUAAAAAUUACCUUAGGGGUUAUUUGGUAGGUGGAUAAAGCUACAUCUAAUACAUGAAUAACAAAGUUAUUUAUGUAUUUAAUUUAUAUAAUGUUUGUAUAAAAGUUAUUCAUAUAUUAACAAAGAUGUUUCUCUCUACGAUAUGUUCCCACAGGAGAAAGAGUUUGUUACUUGAAGAGGGGGGGGGGGGAUGUUGNNNNNNNNNNNNNNNNNNNNNNNNNNNNNNNNNNNNNNNNNNNNNNNNNNNNNNNNNNNNNNNNNNNNNNNNNNNNNNNNNNNNNNNNNNGAAGGGGGGGGGGGGGUAUUUGGAGUCUUUUAGCCACAGUUCGAAGCCCUGACAUAUCGAUCUCUUUUAGCCACGGUUCAAGGUCCCAACGUAUUUUGUUUUGCCACGGUUCAAGGUCCCGACGUAUUUUAUUUUGCCACGGUUCGAGGCCCCAUCAUAUCUCUAUUCGCCUUGGUUCGAAUCCUAACAUGUGGUUCAUUUGGGUUCUUCGGGGUGCCUUCACCAAAGUUCAAGUCUAGAGUCAGCCAUUUUAAGUUCUUGAAAGCUUUUAAUAUAACUAGUGUUAUUCAUAGUACUUCUGUGUACUUAUCAGGCUUAUGUGAGUCCAAACUCGUUUGAGUUAUUUACUUUCCAAUUGCGCACAGGUAUACAUACUUUCUGGGCUUAUAGGGGUCCAGUUAGGUUAUAGAUAAUUGUUUUACUUUACUACUUUGUUCUUUCCAGACUCGUGAGCUAUAUAGUUAGACUUUCCGUUAUUACUUUGUUCAUUUGACCUCUAAUUACCGUUACAUUCAUAUUUUUCAUAUUGUUUUUACUUUCCAUGCCCAGUCGACCUAUGAUGCUACUGGGCACCUGUUGUUUUGAUAUUAUGCUACACUCCACAUCUGUUUUCUUGAUGUAGAUUUGAGCGCCAGCUGAUAAUGGUGAUUCGAGCCUAAGAAAUGCGGAGAUCUUCUGAGAUGAAGGGUGAGCUGAUGGCAUCCUAGUUCGACUUAUCUCCAUAUGUAUAUAGUUUUUUAAUGUCUUUUGUAUUCGAGACAAGUCUAUUAAGUUAGUGAAUAGCAUAGGCUCGAAACUAUGACUAGAACAUUGAGUGCAUGACAUGCACAUCUUACUCCUUAUUUUCCCUAUUCGUACCUGUUUUUUUCAUACUUUCUAACUUCACUGGUACAUUAUUCCUUGUUAAGGAAAAUUAUGUAAACAACUAGUUCUUUGAUUGAUACAACUAAUUCACAUUAAAUAAUAACUAGAAUCUUAUUACAUUUUUGAACUGUUAAACUAGAAACAAGAUUUAGGAUAAGGGAACUAUUUAUUAACUUCACUUCUCCUUAUUAGUGUCAAAAGUUUCUCGUUUAGGAAAUAUGAAGUUUUGAAGGACUAAUAGUAUAUUAUCCUUUUUUAAAAUUGAACUCUAUCCAAUGGUUGAUUCUAUUUAUGAAUCAAUUCCUUAGGUGCAUUAUUUCCAUAGGUUUCAACAUUGGUAACAAAAUCUAGCUUUCUCGCUUAAAUUGACAUAUUUCUAUACUUCCCUCAUCUUAUCUAUCACUGAGGCCGCUCCCAUCUUAUCCCUUAUAUCCUUAUUUAUAAUUUUUAUCGCUCCGAGUAUGAACGUGCAUCCACCUCAAUAUAUAUUCACAUCUCUGCAACAUGCAUCUUCUAGACAUGGGACUUGACUGGCCAACUCUCAUUUCCAUACAACAAUUACAUACACACUCUAUAUAAAUACACACAUACAUAUAUUGAUGGAAAAAUCAUCAACAGAUGAAACUUAAGCAAUACUCCCUCCAUCUCAAUUAAUGUGACAGUCGGAAUUUUGUCUUUUAAAUUGUUAAUUAUUGUGAUUUACCAUUUUUCACAUAAUUUUCAAAUACAUAAAUUUUAUAUCAAAAAAACUUAAAGUUUCUGUAUCCGAAUUUACUAUUAAAUUAUAGAAGUUUGAAUCUCAAAAUUUCAACUAAUGCCACAUAAAUUAAAUCAACUCCAACACUCAGAAAAGCUACAAAAGUUCAAACAUAGAAAGUAAAAAAAAAUUUAAAAAAGAAAUAGAAAAAACCUUGAGAUAAUAUGUCUUGCUAAUUUCCUCUUCAGAUGCUAAUUAAAGGACUUACACCAAGAACAUCAUAAUACUCUGUGUCUUUCACCAUUUUCUUUUCUUUUUCCAAAAUCCCUAUUAACAAAAAAUUUACUCUUUUACCUCCUCCAAUACUCUAAUUACCUUUUUUUUCGCGCUUCUAAAAUCUUAAUACAAGAGCGAAAAACCACUUGAGUGUAAGGAAAGGAAACAAGCCAAACGAAAAAAAAAAAAAAAACUCUCAAAAUUAUAUGAUCAAGAAAACUUGCAAGUACAAAAGGAGAAAGAGGAGGGGGUGGGUGGGGUAUGAUGAAAAGAAUGUCUCAGAAUAAGAGAGUGCCCCAACGAGACAAAGCUGCCUUUCCAGUUCUGAUCAACAAAUUAAUUACGGAAAAUCUGUUGCUUGUCGAUACUCUAAAAGCAGUGUAUUUUUGGAAUUAAGAGGAGUUGUAUAAACUAAAAUGACAAAAGAAGUGUAGGAAAGUGAGGAAGUAGUCAACUGUUGAGGUAUUUCAACAACACCACUCAAUCAAUCCAAUAUCUCUUUUUCCAUUUUUACCUUGUCGUAAUUGCGGCACUUCUUCUUCAUCAGCUUAUAAGGUUAGAUUUCUGAUUAUUUUUUUGAAUCUGAAUCUGAAUCUGAAUUUGUGCUAUUUGGGGAUGGAUAUAGGGUUUUGCUGCCAUUGUUUCUGUUUAUGCUAAUUUUUUUUAUUUCUUUCCAUCUUUUACAUUUCAAUAUUGGGUAAGUUAAAAUUGUUUCUUUUCCAAGGAUUUGUAUAUUGAUAUUAGUAGAAAAGGGUAAUUACUGUUUCAUGCUCCUUAAAUUACCUGCAAAAUUGUUCUAUAUGCUAACUUGAUAUGUAGCUCAAAAAUACCUAUUGACUAGUUAAUGAAAAGUCUAGAAAACCACAUGACUACUUCUUUACUAGUCUCCUCUUAUUGACUCUAUUUGGCUGAUUAUUGAUCCGUCCAACCCAUUUCAACCCAAAUCGAAAGAAAAAAUCCAAGAUAGUCCUUUAUUUUUGGCUUUAGAUUCGAAAUCAUCAAUUGAUGCACUAAUAGUCCUCCAAAGUUUUAAGUAUUAGUGCACUUUUAUCUGAUGCUAAUUUGAGAUAUUGAUACACGAAGACUAAGUAUGUAUUAUAUUUUUCCUUUUUUCUUGUUUUUAUUUUAUUCUUUGGUUAUGCUCCAGAUAUAUAGGCAAAGCACAAGAAACUUUUAUUCCGGAAAAACCCAAAGACUUAUAGUCAGCUUAUUAAUUGCUUAUGGAAAAUAGAAGAGAAAGUUAAAGAAUUAGCAAAUUUUGAAUGGUGCACACCAAACAUUGAAGAUGCAGAGCCAAAAAAUAAAACAAGUACAAAUGAAGACUCAUCUGCAAUUGCUAAGAUAAAUCUAACAAUUAAUAUGUUUUGUACCAGAACGUAGACAGUGGAGGUUAUAAAUGGGUGUGUAAAGGAUCAAAACGUUAAUGAGUAAAUGGAUGUUAAUGAAGAGACUAAAAAUGCACUGACACUUGAAACUUAAAGAACUAUUAGUGCACUAUAUAAAAGAAAGGGAAGGGAUGACUUUGAGUCUGAAGCCAAACAUAAGGAACUAUUUUGAAUCUUUUCCAAACAAUGUUAAGCUCAAACACAAUGUUAUAAAAAGGUAAGAUAAGAACUAAUGUCACAAUAUUACAGGUAAAUCGUUUUUUUUUCCUGUUUUUCAAUUUUUAUCACUAUAAUAUUCUGUAUGUCAAACUCUAAGAUCCUCAUCCAUUGGUAUGGUAUAGAAGUAGUGUUCAAUUUGCUCGACUGCAUUAUCCUCACCCUGAGUCUCGUUUCCUCUCUUUAUUGGAACUAGGCUCUCCUUGUAAUUGAAAACCCAACAGCCAGAAAAGAUAAGGUCCAGCUGAAAUCCAAGAUCUGUAACUUGUCUUGUUUCAGGGUUAUAUAGCACUAGCUGUGAAGUUUCUGUGAUCUCGAAAACCAUCUUAUCGUUAUCCCAGAUGUUGUAAGGCCAAUGAGCAUCUAUAUGAGGUUGAAGAGUAAGAACUUUGGACCAAUUUCCCCCUUGUUUCAUUACCCACACAUCGUAUAUGGAUGUCAUUGGUUUGCCAGGGUCACCGGUUAAUAUAGCAAGUGAGCCGCCAUGCAAUGUAAGCUUCCCCCAAUGUUCACUUGGAAUAUCUGGGACUUGCAUCUCCCCAAACUGUUCGCUGCCCAUGUCAAAAGAGUGAAUCGUGUAGAUGUCAUCAAGGCCCAUAGAAAGCCCAUAAUAAACCCCGUUGAGAUAAGUGGCGUCAAGGGGUGCAGAUAAGGUAGAACUGGGAGGGAAUUCAGGAGUAAGGUGUUUCCAUGAAUUGUUGCAUGAGGAAUAGACAUAGGCAUAGACACGAUUAUUAGCACCUUGUCCCGGUUCAUCCCAGAACACUCGAAUCCAUACAACCUUAAAAUCUUGAGUCAACAGGUCAAAUCCCAAUCCGAACUGAUGAUCAUGGUUCGGGAAAAAGGCCUCAAUCUCAAUAGGCGCAGGAGGCAGAGACCUGAACUCUCUAGUGGCAGGAUUCCACAAACCCAAGCAGAUAUCGUCUCCAAACUUCUUCUGCACUAAGAAUAAGCGAUCAACUGGACCAGCAAGACACGUGAAAUCAGUGAUCCUCGGAAGCUGAAGGAGAGUUUUUUGUUCAGGGGUCACACCUGGAACAAUUUCUUCAGGGAGCAAGGAGAAUACAACAGACCUUACGAUGGGGAGUACUUCACAUGCUACUUUCAAGUUGCAAACAAGGAGACGGGCACAAUUGUUCUUGUGAUGAAAAUGUUUUUCUAUGAAACUCGAACUUUUGAUGAGAGCAUACUAGUGCUUGCACACACAUUUGAAACACAAGAGUGAUUCCACUGGCAAUCUCAAUAGAAUAUCAACUACUAGAUCUUUUGGUAAAGGACGGCGACCAUCCAUACUAGUGGAAAUAUAAGUAAAAUGAGACAACUUACAAACAUAUUGAAAGAGAACAGAUCUAGAAACAUGCUUUAAUAGAACACGCAGUGCAACGAAGAAGAUCAAGCAGCAUCAUUACCAUGUGAAACAAAAAAGGGGAAGUUGCACAUUUGAUCACUCAGCCACAAAUAUUUACAUCAGCAAGCCAAUACACAUAUAUUAUGGGUAUACAUAUUUUUAAAAAUAUUUUGACAAUUUCUUGUAGAUCAAUUUGGGAGAAAAGAUCCAAAAUAGUUCCUCAUGUUUGGCUUCAGACUCAAAGGAUGGAGUAAUAAGUACUUAUUCAUUGUUAAUUAGAGUUCUCGGGUUUGAGUCUUUUUGGCUAUGAAGUCAUCUGUGUUAGGGAGCGCUUUACCCACAAUGUGAGAUUAUUCAGCACAAAUUCAAAUUUAGUGGGGGAUCUAAUAUGGAUACCAAACACCGAGUGGAAAACCAAAAAUAAAAAUAAAAAUGACCUUAGGGGUCAUUUGAUAGGUGGAUAAAGCUACAUUUAAUACAUGAAUAACAAAGUUAUUUAUGUAUUUAAUUUAUAUAAUAUUUUGUUUGUAAAAUGUUGUAUAAAAGUUAUUCGUGUAUUAACAAAGAUGUUUAUCUCUACGAUAUGUUCCCGCAGGAGAAAGAGUUUGUUAUUUGAAGAGGGGGGGGGGGUAUUUGGAGUCUUUUAGCCACAGUUCGAAGCCCUGGCGUAUCUCUUUUAGCCACGGUUCAAGGCCCCAACAUAUUUUUUUGGCACGGUUCGAGGCCCCAACAUAUCUCUAUUCGCCUUGGUUUGAAUCCUAACAUGUGGUUCAUUUGGGUUCUUCGGGUGCCUUCGCCAUAAUUCAAGUCUGGAGUCGGCCAUUUCAGUUCUUGAAAGCUUUUAAUCUAGCUAAUGUUAUUCAUAGUACUUCCGUGUACUUAUCGGACUUAUGUGAGUCCAAACUUGUUUGAGUUAUAUAUUUACUUUCUAAUUGUGCACGAGUAUACAUACUUUCUGGGCUUAUAGAGGUCCAAUUAGGUUAUAGAUUAUUGCUUUACUUUACUACUUUGUUCUUUUUAGACUCGUGAGCUAUAUAGUUAGACUUUCCGUUAUUGCUUUGUUCAUUUGACCUCUAAUUAUUGUUACUUUCAUAUUCUUCAUAUUGUUUUUACUUUCCAAGCUCAGUCGACCUAUGAUGCCUACUGGGCACCUGUUGUUCUGAUAUUCAUGCUACACUCCACAUCUGCUUUCUUGAUGUAGAUUUGAGCGCCUGCCGACAACAGUGAUUCGAGCCUAAGUAAUGCGGAGAUCUUCUGAGAUGAAGGGUGACCUAAUGGCGUCCUAGUUCGACUUAUCUCCAUAUGUAUAUAAUUUUUUCCUAUCUUUUGUAUUCGAGACAAGUUUAUUAAGUUAGUCAAUAGCAUAGGCUCGAAACUAUGACUAGAACAUUGAGUGCAUGACAUGCACAUCUUACUCCUUAUUUUCCUUAUUCGUACCUAUUUUUGUUCAUACUUUCUAAAUUUCACUAGUACAUUAUCCCUUGUUAAGGAAAAUUAUGUAUCCAGAAUAGUAAAUGGUCUGAUCCACUUAAGAGUGAAGGCUAGUUCAUUGAUUGAUACAUCUAAAUCACAUUAAAUAAUAUAUAUUACAUUUUUGAACUGUUAAACUAGAAACAAGAUUUAGGAUUUUUCAAGUGGACCAAAAUACAGAUAUUGAUGCAGAGUACUUAAAGUCUGUUGCUUGCCGAUACUCUAAAAGUAGUGUAUUUUUGGAGAAUCUAACAUGAGUGGAGAGUACAUGCGCAACUUAGCUUAAAAUGUGUUGGUCCAAAAGGAAUGCCCCUUGAUACCAUAAACAAAAAAUACCAUGUUUGCUUUUUAUUCAAUAAUAGUACAAAGAUGACUGAUCCAAACAAUUUUAAGCUCAAACACAAUGUUAUAAGGUAAGAAAAGAACUAAUGUCACAAUAUUACAGGUAAAUCGUUUUUUUUCUUCUUCCUGUUUUUCAAUUUUUAUCAGUAUAAUAUUAUGUAUUACAAAUCUUUAAGAUCCUCAUCCAUUGGUAUGGUAUAGAAGAAGUGUUCAAUUUGCUCGACUGCAUUAUCCUCACCCUGAGUCUCGUUUCCUCUCUUUAUUGGAGCUAGGCUCUCCUUGUAAUUGAAAACCCAACAGCCAGCCAUGUUAAGGUCCAGCUGAAAUCCAAGAUCUGUAACUUGUCUUGUUUUAGGGUCAUAUAGCACCAGCUGUGAAGUUUCUGUGAUCUCGAAAACCAUCUUAUCGUUAUCCCAGAUGUUGCGAGGCCAAUGAGCAUCUAUAUGAGGUUGUACAGUUAGAACUUUGGACCAAAUUCCCUCUUGUUUCAAUACCCACACAUCAUAUAUGGAUGUCAUAGGUUUGCCUGGGUCACCGGUUAAUAAAGCAAGUGAGUUGCCACGCAGUGUAAGCGUCCCCCAAUGUUCACUUGGAAUAGCUGGGACUUGCGUCUCCCCAAACUGCUCGCUGUCCAUGUCAAAAGUGCGAAUCGUGUAGAUCUCAUCAAGGCCCGUACAAAGCCAAUAAUAAACACCGUUGAGAUAAGUGGCGUCAAGGGGUGCAGAUAAGGUAGAACUGGAAGGGAAUUCAGGAGUAAGGUGUUUCCAUGAAUUGUUGCAUGAGGAAUAGACACAGGCAUAGACACGAUUAUUAGCACCUUGUCCCAGUUCAUCCCAGAACACUCGAAUCCAUACGACCUUAUAAUCUAGAGUCAACAGGUCAAAUCCCAAUCCCAACUGAUGAUCAUGGUGCGAGAAAAAGGCCUCAAUCUCAAAAGGCGCAGGAGGCAGAGACCUGAACUCUCUGGUGGCAGGAUUCUACAAACCCAAGCAGACAUCGUCUUCAUAAAACUUCUUCUGCACUAAGAAUAAGCCAUCAACUGGACCAGCAACACACGUGAAAUCAGUGAUCCUCUGAAGCUGAAGGAGAGUUUUUUGUUCAGGGGUCACACCUGGAACAAUUUCUUCAGGGAGCAAGGAGAAUACAACAGACUUUACGAUGGGGUGUACUUCACGUGCUACUUUCAAGUUGCAAACAAGGAGACGGGCACAAUUGUUCUUGUGAUGAAAAUGUUUUUCUAUGAAACUUGGACUUUUGAUGAGAGCAUACCAGUGCUUGCACACACAUUUGUAACGCAAGAGUGAUUCCACUGACAAUCUCAAUAGAAUAUCAACUACUAGAUCUUCUGGUAAAGGGCGGUGACCAUCCAUACUGGUGGAAAUAUAAGUAAAGUGAGAAAACUUACAAACAUAUUGAAAGAGAACAGAUCUAUAAACAUGCUUUAAUAGAACACACAAUGCAACGAAGAAGAUCAAGCAGCAACAUUACCAUGUGAAACAAAAAAUUGUAAGUUACACAUUUGACCACUCGGCCACAAAUAUUUACAUCAGCAAGCCAAUACACAUAUAUUAUGGGUAUACAUAUUUUUAAAAAUAUUUUGACAAAAUUUCUUGUAGAUCAAUUUGGGAGAAAAGAUCCAAAAUAGUUCUUCAUGUUUGGCUUCAGACUCAAAGUCAUCCCUUCCCUUUCUUUUAUAUGGUGCACUAAAUAGUUUCAUUUUCUGGCAUUCGAAAUCCUUUUUAUUACAGUUCUAUAUUUGAUUCUGUAUCAUAUAUAUAUAUAUAUAUAUUUAUCCCUGUCGUCGCCUUAGAUUCAUUGGCCUGAAUUUGAACAUUUAUGUAGCUCGGAACACUCAAAUAUCCGCCGCACUAUACCUUGAUUGCUUUUGACUACAUCUAUGACCAGUAAGUACAAGAUUGAUUGGGUAUUUGGUUUGAUUUUUGAGUUUGUCAUAUAUAUACAUAUGAAGCACUUUGUUAUUACACGAUAUAUCUUAUGAAUAAUAUAGGCAAUGUUUAUGAAGAAUUAGUUUUUAAAAGUUUUAGUUCAAUAACUUUGAUUAAUAUAUAUACUUGUAUGUGUUUGUAUAUACAUUUAUUUCUGGUAUCUCAGCACAUGUAUCAUACCCCAAAUCCUAAAAUUCAUGUGAUGAAGAAUUUGACUUUUAGAUCCGCAACCGUUUUGGGUCCAAGCAAUUUUCUUGUGUUAGAAUCUAAAAGCUGAUUUUCAUUUCUAAAAUCGUAAGUUAAGAAACGAAAGAAAAAAAAAAUACAGAUUUCCAUCUUAAAAAUUUGAAGUCUUCCCAUUUUCUAGUGAACAAGCGGUGAUUUGCUUUUCUAAUUUUUUCCUCACUUUUAAAAAGUGUCUUUUUCCUUAUAGGAAAUAUUUUCCAAAACAUUUGAUCAACCGAACAUAGCAAAAUUGGAAAACAUGUAUCGAACACACACAGAUAAAUACAGAUUUCCAUUUUAAGUCUUCCCAUUUCUUAGUAAAGAAGUGGUGAUUUACUUUUCUAAUCUUUUUAUUAGGCAAUCAAUGAUUUUCUUUUUGUAUUUUCAACGUGGAAUGUUACUAGUGCAACUUAUUUUCCCUACUUUCAUCAUAGAAGUAAUUUAAUCACUUUUAAGGAGUUUGUUUUCUAUAGAAAAUAGUAUUUUCUAAAACAUUUGACCAACGAAAAAAAAGAGAAAAUUGAAAAACAUGUAUCGAACACAACCUACAUCAAUUUUGAAACAGAAAGAGAGAAAUGAAAAGUGAAAAAUGGUGGAAGGAGACAUAUAUAUGUGCCAUCUAAUUUAAGAGCAAAAGCAUAACGUAGAGAAAGAGAGCAGCAAAACACAAAUACAGAAAAUUGAAAUCUAACCUGAGGAAGAAGAGCCGUAAAUGAGAAAUGAGAGUAGUGAAGAAGAGGCAAAAAGCUUUGUCUAUUUAUACUACCUACUAAUUAAUUUAGGACCAAAAAUUUCCAAAGUAUUUUUUUUCUUAGAUUUUGUGUCUAGUCAAAAGAAUGUCAUUACCACUAAGCCCAUUUUCUCAUCUAAUUAAUUAUUGUCUCUAUUGCAAGAGUUUUAUUUGAGGUGUUUCACACCCUUUAAGAAAAGUAGAUUAAGACAUAAAUUGAACAUACUUUUCCAUUUUUACCCUUAUUAAUUAUUGUCAAAUUUAUUGAAGUCAUCACAUUGAAAAUCCAAAUGAAGGGUAAAAUUGGAAGAAUAUUUUAAAAAUAGUCUUGAAGAUUGAACAAUUAAGUUAAUUUGAAAAAUGGAAAAUGCCUCAAAAAUUCAAUUAAUAUGGAAUGAAGGGAGCAUACUAUAAGUGGGAAGCUCCUAAUCUCAAAGUUGAUACAAAAAUACCUUUUACUAUUUUUUUUAUUAAAUAAAUAAUUAAAGUUAAUUAGACCAAAUUUACAUGAUUAGCUGUUAGAGUUUAUCAUUUCUUAAUGAGGCUUUAAUUGUUAUCCUUUGAGCUUCUUCCAUUUACACUUAUUCAAACAGUAGUUUAAUGCUUCACACUUAAGUUAUGAUUCUUCUACCUUUCAUCCUCCGCAUUAUUCUUUCAUCUUCCGCAUUAAUAAUUUUCUCUUAAAACCUUUUCUUAUUCCUUACAUUGCAAUACUCUCUAAAAGCUUACAAGAAGUUGUCUUAGCCCUAUUAUUCUAUUUGUGUUCUAUCGGUCAGAAAUUUCCCUUUUUCAGGUAUAUCUAUGAUUUAUAUGUAUCUAUAUGUGGUUUAAAUCUCAUUCUUGAGAUGGUAUAUGUUAUUUAAUAUUAAAAUAUAAUUAUCUUUUAAGUUGGAAUUAUUUGUCCCAAUGAAAGAUUUAGUAAUGUACAAUACACUUUUCACUGAAUGUUAUAAACACGGAGAUUAAUUGUUUUAAAUGGAUAUACUUCCGUGCAUAUUGUCAGAGAGUAAUUCCUUUAAUACUUUGUUAAUUUUAUUCUGUUAGAAAUUUAAUUUAUUAUCUACUUGAAUAUUGCAAUUUGGUGUAGAAGCUUUUAGAUUAAAGGACUUUUUAAUCGUUUUUAAACUGAAAGACUACAUCAUGUUUGCAUAAGAAAAAGUUCAAAUGAAAUUCAAAUAAAAAUAUCAAUUUAUCAAUUUUUCGUUCUCCAUAUAUAGGUUUUAUUGACGGGAUGCUAGGUAUCCAAACAACCUCUCUUUUUAAAGAAAUAAAUUUUCUCUAUCUUUUUAUGACAAAUGAAGAAAUUUUCUCUAUCUUUGUUAUGACAAAUGUUAUAGGCUUAGACUUUGAUCUUCAUCUUCAAUUAUUAUUACAUACAAUUUAUAAUUAACUUGCUACAAUGGGCAUAUCACUUACGUUAUUAUAUAUUAAUACUUAGCGAUAAAUUCUUCUUUCUAUAGGUCAUUUUUGAAAAUGCUUAAAGUAAAAAAUGAUAUUAAUAUAAAAAAUUGUGUCGCAUAUAAGUUGAUACAAAAAAACACCAAGAACUAGAUAGAUAACAAUAGAUCUACAAUAAAAGUUUUGAUCAUGAUAAAGAAAUUGAAACAUCGAAGUAGAACAUAUACAAUUAAAAAUAACAUCUAUAAGAAAGUAUUAGGUAAAUAUAAUUAUAUCACAUAUUUACACCUAAUAGUAUUACUAAUGAACUCAUUUUAUACUGUGCAUAUCUAACUAAAUUAUAUGGGUACACUUUUCAAGUUUAGAUGACAUCGAAUAAUCAACUCAAUUUUUUGACUAUUCUUUAAAUUGAGCAUGUAAGUCUUUUCAUAUUAAAUUUUCUAUUUAUCAUUAUACACAUAUUUUAAUAUUAUCUUUAUCUAUAUAUAUACUAAUUUACACCGGAGAUAACACUUAUUAGAGACAUUUUUUGAUUAUCUAGAUUGUUAUAAAUGAUAUUACCAAUUAAAUUAGGAUACAGGUGCAUGACACGUGGCCAGAAACUAGUACAGUAAAACCUCUAUAAAUUAAUACUCGGUAAAUUAAUAAUCUCUCUAAAGUAAUAUUUUUCUCCGGUCCCGACUUGGGCCAAUGAAAAAAAUUCUCAAUUUCGAUAAGAUAAUAAGAUAUAUAUUUCCAGAAGACCCCUAUAUAAAUAUAUGGUCCCAUUGAUAUCAUAAAUUAAUAAUUCUUUAAAAGUACAAAUAUAUCUAAGACAAUUUAGUGAAAUAUGAUUCUAUUGUGUUCUGUUUUUUUCUUAAAAUUUAAAUCUAGUUGAAACUCAUCUCUAACUUUUCUUAUUGCAUCCAAGAGCUCCGAUAUUAUCUUUUCGAACUGCACUAUAAAAUUGUGAAGAGUUCUAGAUGCGAUAAGUGCUUCAUUACGCGCAACUGGUUCCAAAGGUAUAAUAUCAUCUUCAACUUCAUCAACAACAUUGCUUUUUCCGAUGGUAUCUGUAACACCCGUAACUAGAAAGAACUAAAAAGGAAUUUUUAAAAAGAGGAAAUAGUCAUUUUUGGAAAGUAUAAAAAUUUUGAAAUUUUCAAGUGUGUUAAAGUUGAGUUUUUGGUCAACUUCAAAUAACCAUAACUUCUAGCUCAUGAUGAGUUAGGUGUGUUUCCAAAUAUCUUAGAAAUAUCUUGGAAUAAUCUUUCCAACGCCGCCAAGUUUACGCGAUUCCGAGUUCGUAUGAGUGAGUUAUUCCCUUUGGAAGUUGGGCUGUUCAAAUAAUAAUGUCCAAUCCGGAUUUUUAAAGGGUGUUUUGGUCUUUUCCAUACCCUAUUAUUUUAGUUCGUUUUUGGUGAAUUAAUUAAGGGUCAAAACUGAAUUGGUUCAGUUUAGGCAAUUGGAGAUUUAUGCUAGGGUUUUUGGAGAAAGAACGCAAGAGGAGAAAAGAGGAGAAAGAGCAAAGUUCGUCGUUCUUGAAGGUUUAGCUUGUGGAUUUCGACAAGGGUUGAUCCCUAAAGAGGUAUGUGAGUCUUUCAUAGCAUUGAGUUCGUUCACUUACGGGCCAAUCAUGUUUAUUUCAUCGUAAAUUCGUCCUAAAAGAGUUUGAAAGUUGAUGUUCUUGACAUCUGUUCUUGAAUUUGAUAUUAUUCUUGAGUUGAGCUGAAAUUGAGAAGUUUCUGAGAUCAUUACGUCAAAUUAUUGAGUUGGUUGAAGUUAGGAUUUUAGGUACAUUUGCUGGGUAUCUGUAUCUAAAAAGAAUUUGGGAAAAAGAAUCGAAUUUGGGCGAAUUAGGGUUGGAAAAUGAAGAAGAAAAUUCGUCGGGCAAAUCUGGGAUCAUUACGUCAAAUUAUUGAGUUGGUUGAAGUUAGGAUUUUAGGUACAUUUGCUGGGUAUCUGUAUCUAAAAAGAAUUUGGGAAAAAGAAUCGAAUUUGGGCGAAUUAGGGUUGGAAAAUGAAGAAGAAAAUUCGUCGGGCAAAUCUGGGCACUGGUUCCGCGUCGUGGACCUGCUCCCCAGAUUUAAGAAAAGUCAUUUCGCGUUGCGGUCAUUGACCGUUCUGCCUCAAAAAGUAUUUUUGCGACCAAAAUUUAAAUACGCCUCCGCGUCGUGGACUAGUUUCCAGGCAGUGAUUUCUUGAUCAUUUCUCAUGUUUAGCUAUCUAAAAUCAUUCCUAAACAUCAUGAGAUCUUUCCUGUCACAAAUCUCAAUCCUUGAACCCACAAUUCAAUUCAAGGAGCAGUUAAUAGUCAAGAGAAGUUCAUAGAGUCUUCCAAGGGUCUUUUACAAAUAUUUUAACUUUGUNNNNNNNNNNNNNNNNNNNNNNNNNNNNNNNNNNNNNNNNNNNNNNNNNNNNNNNNNNNNNNNNNNNNNNNNNNNNNNNNNNNNNNNNNNNNNNNNNNNNNNNNNNNNNNNNNNNNNNNNNNNNNNNNNNNNNNNNNNNNNNNNNNNNNNNNNNNNNNNNNNNNNNNNNNNNNNNNNNNNNNNNNNNNNNNNNNNNNNNNNNNNNNNNNNNNNNNNNNNNNNNNNNNNNNNNNNNNNNNNNNNNNNNNNNNNNNNNNNNNNNNNNNNNNNNNNNNNNNNNNNNNNNNNNNNNNNNNNNNNNNNNNNNNNNNNNNNNNNNNNNNNNNNNNNNNNNNNNNNNNNNNNNNNNNNNNNNNNNNNNNNNNNNNNNNNNNNNNNNNNNNNNNNNNNNNNNNNNNNNNNNNNNNNNNNNNNNNNNNNNNNNNNNNNNNNNNNNNNNNNNNNNNNNNNNNNNNNNNNNNNNNNNNNNNNNNNNNNNNNNNNNNNNNNNNNNNNNNNNNNNNNNNNNNNNNNNNNNNNNNNNNNNNNNNNNNNNNNNNNNNNNNNNNUUAGAUGAUUCUUUAGUGCUUUUUAGCAUAGACUAGUGGAUCCACUUAGUAGUUUAGGUUCUAUACUCAUGGCAAGGUAUAUGAUGUCCUUGGCAGUGUGAGGCAAAACGUUGUAUCAUCACAAUAUCUCUUAAGUGAUGGUUGUCGGUUAGAGAAACUCCCACACAAGUAUUUUGUAUUCUUAUAUACACAGAUUAUUUGUAAUUUCAUAUAAAAUAGAGUUCAUAUUGUAUCUUUGCAUACAUACAAAGUUAUUAUUGUAUUUCUAGAUACAUAGAGUUUCUUUCCAUGUUUUAAAAGCUUUUCUUUAUAUUGCAUUUAUAUUACUGCUUUAGUUGAGUUGAGACUAGGUUUGUCGUACAUUCCAUGUACUGAUGCCAGUUGGCCUGCAUCGUUUUAUGAUGCAGACGUAGGUAACUAGGAUCAACAUCCAGUGCAUCGUUGAUCCAGUUGAGCACUCAGAGUCUGGUGGUGAGCCUCCUUUGCUUUUCCGGAGGAUCCCCUUUUUAUUGCUUUCAGUAUUUGAUUUCAUUAGGAUGUCGUGGGUCUUGUCCCGACAUCUAUAUCAGUUUUAGAGGCUUCAUAGAUAGACAAUCAGAUGUUAGUUAUUUUAGUAAUUUCAUUGUCAUUAUCUUAUGUUGAGACUUGUGUUUGCCUUAAUGGCCAGUUGAAUGUUCAUUUAUAACAUUCCAGUUUAUUACAUAGAUUUAUCUUUGUUGAGUUAAGUCUUCCGCUGAGUAAGUAAGCCAGGCCAAGGGUUUUCUUGGGGCCAACAAUGGUUCUCGAGUGCUAGCCACGUUUGGGGUGUAGGCUCGGGGUGUGAAAAACUUGGUAUCAGAGCAUAGAGUUCAAGAGUCCUAGGGAGUCUAUGAAGCCGUGUCUGUAGAGUCCUAGUUAUCGGUGUGAAGCGCGCCACAUCUAUAAUAGGAGGAUGCAACAUUUAGGAACUAUCUCACUUCUUUCACAUCCAUUUCGUGCGAUAAAGUUAAUCUCUAUAAAGUUUCUUCCAAUUCGUGGUUGUGCGUGUAUUUCAGAUCAUGCCUCUACGAAGAGCUGUCAAAGGUCGUCCGACUAGAAGGAAGGUUGAACCACAGGAACAAGGGGUACCUAAUGCACUAGAAGUGUAACCCCAAUGAGACGUCACCAAUGCUGAGUUCCUUGAGGCCAUUCAGAUGUUGAGCCAAGUUGUGACCAACCAAGCUGGGCAACAGAGAGAGAAUCUUCAGGAAGUGGCUGAUACUUCUAGAGUUUAUGAGUUCUUAAAGAUGAAUCCUCCAAACUUCACAAGUUCAAGUGUCAGCUUUAGACCUAAGGGGAGAUGACGAGAUGAAAAAUCAAGUCAAGUGUUUGAGAAUAAGAUAGUAAUGAGUCCCAAAAAGUAUGGGAGAUAUCUUUUCAGAAGACUUUUAGUAGUGAAGUGAUGUUAAAAGGAAAAGGCUAAUGAUCCAUGUGCAACAAGUUGAGGAGGACAAGCUGAGGGAUAGAGAAUAGUUUAAGAAUAAGAGGGCGAAGACAUCAGGGAAUGAGUCCGGGUGGCAGAAGAGUAAUGCCAACCGGUCUUCCUUCCAACAGAAACAAAAGUGACCUGCUCCAUCAUCUACUAGUGCACCUGUACCAAGAAACAAAUGUGAGUACAAUAGUCAGAAUUCCCAGAAUUUUAGAGCUAGACCUGCACAUUCUCAAGGCAGUGUUGCAUAAGGAGGUAAUGAGACUCAUGCAUAUGCUAAGUGUGGUCGGAACCACUUAGGGGUGUGACGGGAUGACUCCACUGGUUGCUUCAAGUGUGGUCAAGACAAUCAUUUUAUGAGAGAGUGUCCUGAGAACAGGCAGGGUAAUGGUAAUGGGAGACAAUAGAGCCCAGUCUUCUUCAGUUGCUCCACCAGACAGAGCUGCACCUAGAGGAGCUACUUCAAGUACUGGCGGAGGAGCAAACCACCUAUAUGCUAUCACUAGUCGCCAAGAGCAAGAGGAUUCACCAGAUGUUGUUACUGGUAUGAUCCAAGUCUUUAACUUUGACGUUUACGCUUUGCUAGAUCCAGGAGCGAGUUACCAUUUGUAACUCCAUAUGUUUCUAUGAAUUUCAAUUAUAUUCUGAGCAACUUAGUGUACCCAUCAGUGUUUCUACACCUGCUAGUGAGUUUAUUCUAGUAGAAAAAGUCUAUCGUGAUUGUUCCAUUUUCGUUAAUCACAAGAGUACCAUGACUGAUUUAGUUGAGUUAGACAUGGUAGAUUUUGAUGUCAUUCUAGGUAUGGAUUGGCUUCAUGCCUGUUGUGCCUCAGUUGAUUGUAGAACUCGAGUUAUCAAGUUUCAGUUUCCAAAUGAGCCAGUCUUAGAGUGGAAAAGUAGUUCAACAAUGCCUAAGGGUCGUUUCAUUUCAUACCUUAAGGCAGGAAAGUUAGUUUCCAAGGGGUGUGUCUAUCACUUAGUCCGAGUUAAUGACUCUAGUGUUGAGAUACCUCUUAUUCAGUCAGUUCCAGUAGUAAAAAAGUCUCCAGAAGUCUUUCUAGAUGAUCUACCCGUAGUCCCUCAUGAGAGAGAAAUAGACAUCGGUAUAGACCUUCUUCUAGAUACUCGUCCUACAUCUGUUCUGCCAUACUGAAUGGCACCAGUAGAGUUAAAAGAGUUGGAAGAGCAGUUGAAAGAUCUCCUUGAUAAAGGCUUUAUUCAACCAAGUGUCUCACCUUGGGGAGCUCCGGUCUUAUUUGUGAGAAAGAAAGAUGGUUCCCUUAGGAUGUGUAUAGAUUACCGUCCGUUGAACAAGGUUACCAUCAAGAACAAGUAUCCUCUUCCGAGAAUUGAUGAUUUUUUCGAUCAACUUCAGCGUGCCACCUGUUUCUCUAAGAUAGAUCUCAAAUCUGGCUACCAUCAGUUAAGAGUAAGAGAAUGUGAUAUUCCAAAGACAACUUUCAGAACCCGUUAUGGUCAUUAUGAGUUUCUAGUCAUGUCCUUUUGUUUGACCAAUGUGCCUGCAACAUUCAUGGACCUUAUGAAUAGAGUAUUCAAACCUUAUUUAGAUAUGUUUGUUAUCGUCUUCAUUGAUGACUUACUAAUCUAUUCAAGAAAUGAAGAAGAUCAUGCUAGUCAUCUCAUAAUAGUUCUCCAGACCCUAAAAGAUAAAAAAGUUGUAUGCUAAGUUCUCGAAAUGUGAGUUUUGGCUUGAGUCUGUGGCAUUCUUAAGCCACAUUGUGUCUGGAGAGGGAAUUAAAGUUGAUACUCAGAAAAUUGAGGCAGUACAGAAUUGGCCUAGACCCACAUCUCCAACUGAUAUUAGAAGUUUCUUAGGUUUGGCUGGAUAUUAUUUCAUCCCCUUUGACCAAGUUAACUCAGAAAACAGUUAAGUUUCAAUGGUCUGAAGCUUGUGAGAAAAGCUUUCAGGAGUUGAAAAAGAGGUUGACUACUGCCCCAAUAUUGACCUUACCAGAAGGUACGCAAGGCUUUGUUGUAUAUUGCGAUGCAUCCAGAGUUAGUUUGAGUUGUGUGUUAAUGCAGAAUGGUAAUGUUAUAGCUUAGGCCUCCAGACAGUUGAAAGUUCAUGAGAAGAAUUACCCAACCCAUGAUUUAGAGUUGGCUGCUGUAGUUUUGCUUUGAAAAUAUAGCGUCAUUAUCUUUAUGGUGUUCAUGUGGAUGUGUUCACCAAUCACAAGAGUCUUCAAUAUGUGUUUAGUCGGAAAGAGCUUAAUCUCAGACAAAGGAGGUAGUUAGAAUUACUCAAGGAUUAUGACAUGAGUAUUUUUAUCACCCAAGUAAGGCUAAUGUUGUUGUUGAUGCCUUGAGCAGGUUGUCUAUGGGUAGUACCGCCCAUUUUGAGGAAGAUAAGAACGAGUUAGCAAAAGAGGUGUAUAGACUUGCAUGACUAGGAGUUCGACUAAUGGAUUCCACAGAAGGAGGAGUAGUGGUGAUGAAUGGGGCUGAAUCAUCAUUAGUGUCAGAAGUGAAAGAGAAGCAAGACCAAGAUCCUUUAUUUCUUGAAUUAAAAGGCAAGUGUUCAUAAGCAAAAAAGUGAUGGGUUUUGAGAGAUGGUGUUUUGAGGUAUCAAGGUGGAUUGUGUGAUUGAUUUCAAGGGUAAUUUGGGAUGAUCCCCUACCUCUCAUUAAGUUUGCUUACAACAAUAGUUACCAUUCUAGCAUCCAAAUGGCUCCAUAUGAGGAUCGGAGAAGAUGCAGAUCUCUUAUUGGAUGGUUUGAAGUUGGUGAAGUUGGGUUGAUAGGUCCAGACUUAGUUCAUCAGGCUAUGGAGAAGGUGAAAGUUAUUCAAGAGAAGUUGAAAAUUGUCACGACCCGAGCCUACACCUAGACGUGGCCGGCACUCGAGAACCAUUGCUGGUCCCCAAGCGAACCCUUAUCCUGGCUAACUACAAGCGGAAAACUGAUUCAAGCAUACAAAGCUUAAAACUGAAUAGCAUUCAUGAAACUGAAAUACAAAGCUUUAACUCAAAUGAAAAACUCUGAAUAAAAUAAUAUAUUCAACUCGCCAUAAAAUAGGCAACUUAAGUCUUUAAAACAUUUAAUAAAAUAAAUGAAUAAUACAAACUUCUCAACUAUACUAACUAUCUAUGAAGCCUCUAACUGAUAAAGAUGGAAGUCGGGACAAGACCCACGACCUCUUAACUAAACUAAAAAGUAAAUGAAAUCCUCCGAAAACGAGGAGGCUCACCAUAGCUAACUCGAACUCCCGGAUGUGUCAACGAAUCUCCUGUUGAUGAUCCUGAAUACCUGUGUCUGCAUCAUGAGAAGAUGCAGGCCAAAUGGCUCAGUACGCGGAAUGUACGAGCUUGUAAGAGGAAUUCUAAAGCAUAAACAUAAGCUUGAAACUUGAUAAAAAUGGAAAAUACUUGCCUCUUUUCAAACUUACUCAACUCAAGGAAUACUCAAGGAUACUCAAAACUACUCAAACGUACUCAACUCAGAAGUACUCAAAGAUAAGAUACUCAACUCAAAGAUAUGUUAUUCGACUCUGGGUACUCAACUCUGUAUACUCAACUCAAUAUAAAGCAACAAUAAGAGAUGCAAUAUAUAGAAAGCUUUAUAAAAUAGUAAAAACAACUUAGUUCGUUAAAGAAAAUGCAAUAACAAACUCAACUUUACUUAUACAAUAAAGUAAUGUAGUUUAUGUGGAGUUUCUCCAACCGACAACCACCACUAUGAGCCUAAGUGNNNNNNNNNNNNNNNNNNNNNNNNNNNNNNNNNNNNNNNNNNNNNNNNNNNNNNNNNNNNNNNNNNNNNNNNNNNNNNNNNNNNNNNNNNNNNNNNNNNNNNNNNNNNNNNNNNNNNNNNNNNNNNNNNNNNNNNNNNNNNNNNNNNNNNNNNNNNNNNNNNUUAAUAUGAACUCGCAUCCCCAUAUCGAUGCUCAAUACUACUCCCAAAAAAUAUACUUAGCUCUUAUGUUUUAAAAAACCAAACUUCUUUCUUUGGUUUGAGAUAAUUACUCAAAACUUAGCUUAAAAGCUUUCUUGGAAUCGAUGUUCCCUUUCUUGCUCAAAACUCUUUUGGAAAUCUUAAUUUCCUCUCAUCUUAAAUGUGAAAACAUUACUCUUGGAAAUACUUAGUUCCCAUAUAUUAUUUUAAAGAAAAUGAACUUUACUCUUACUCUUUACUCAACUUCAAAGCUUAAGUCUUAAAACAAAAUUUAAACAUUUGUAAAAGACUUCUUAAAAUAUGGUUCAUGCCGAAUUAUGGACGUGAACGACUCAAUGCAAGGUUUUCAAUAACCAAAGAUAGAACUCAAUACUUGGAACUCAAGAACUUCAUUGUUAAUACUCGUUGCAAAAAUGCUCAACUCAGAGGGUUCAUGCGGAAUUAUGAGCAUGAAUAACCCAACUCAAACUUCAUGGGUAACAUGUAAUAGUCCCAUGAUUAGAACUAUAAUCUCAGAGGGGAUUAGAAACUCAAAACUCAAGACUUAGAACUUGAAGAUACUACUCCUUUCAAAGAUAUUGAACUGAUGGAGUUCAUGCAGAAGUUAUGGGCAUGAACGACUUGACUCAAGGGUCAAAAUAUCAAUAANNNNNNNNNNNNNNNNNNNNNNNNNNNNNNNNNNNNNNNNNNNNNNNNNNNNNNNNNNNNNNNNNNNNNNNNNNNNNNNNNNNNNNNNNNNNNNNNNNNNNNNNNNNNNNNNNNNNNNNNNNNNNACUUUUAACUCUCUCUUGAAUGUGAAUUAUGAAUUCAAGAGUUAUGGCUCAAGCUAUAAAAGAUAUCAUGACGAAAAAAUAGACUCAUGAAUACAUUCUCCUCACUCUCAUGCUCACUACUUGAGUGUUGAAAGAAGUUACUAGAAGUUGUAGAAGACUCCACAAAAGGACUCAAAGGGACUUUCUUAGAAUGUUUGAAAGAAUUCUCAAAACUUAGCUCUCAACUCUACCUUGAAUUUGAAUUAUUAAUUCAAGGUUAUGAUAAUGUUAUGAAUGAUUUCUAGGUGUUUAGAAGUAGUUUAAAGUGUUUAGAAUCAAAGGGGAGUAAAGGUACCAUUUGAAAGAACUCAAACAGACGAAACGAUGAACAACGGGUGGGGGCCGGCGACCCUGGCGCUCUGAGUCACGUGGGGCGCCAGCCCCUAAAGUUCAGAGAGGUGGUUGGGGCUCUCUGGCUGGCGUGACACUCCAGGCCCCAACCCAGAAAAGUUCGACGACUUUCUUUGCUCGUUUUCUCACCCUAAGUCGCCUAAAAUCGAACAGUUUCUUCCCCAAUCACUUGGAUUUAAUUAAUUAACAUUAAUACACUCUCAUAUACUCAAAACAACACUCAAAUUACUAAAUUUCAUUUGAAGAAAUCAUCAAAACCCCAACACAACAAGAUUUAGAAUGAACUUCAAGAACACCUAUCAAGAACUCAAAUCUUUCAACUUCAAGAAUGAAAUUUGGGCUGAAAAUAACAUGUUUGGAGUGUGGGUGAACAAACCCAACAUUAUGGAAGCUUACAUACCUCUUAGGGAUCAAACCCAUGGCAAAAAUCUGCAACAAGACGGAAGAAUCUCGACGAACGCUUGAUCCUCUCCUCUUUUCUCUUCUUUUCUCUUCUUGAACUCUCAACUAAAACCCUAGGCAUAAACUAGGAUUAUAAAACUGAACAUAAUCAAAUUAUACCCCUAAAAUAUUACUAAAAACGAAUUAAAUCUGAUUGGGUAAGGAAAAGACCAAAAUACCCCUUACUAUUUUCGACUAACUUUCCUUAACUGGGUUGCCUAACUUCAAAAGGUCAUAUCUCACUCAUCCAAACUCGAAACUUAGAAAACUCGUUGGCGUUGGAAAGAUAAUUCAAAGAUAUUUCCUACGGUAUCUGGUAGCACACCUAACGCAUCCUGAGCUAGGAUUUAUGGUCGUUUGAAGUCGACCCAAAACUCAUACUUAAGCAUAACUUGCAAAAUUUCAGAUUUUGCUAUUUCCAAGUUUGAACUUUUUUGGAACUCAAGGUGCUACAUCCAGUGACCUUAAAACUUAAGAAAUUUUUAAUUCCUUGGAAAAAUCUCACUUACUACGAUGAACGGUUCGAGUCUUAGUUCAAUUUUUUUUUUGGGUGUUACAAAAACAGCGUAGAGUCCUCAGAAAUCCUACAUUGAUGUUAGGAGAAAGAAGUUAGAGUUCGAAGUAGAUGAUUGGGUCUACUUGAAAGUUUCACCCAUGAAGGGUUUUAUGACAUUUGGUAAGAAGGGGAAGCUUAGCCCCCGGUAUAUUGGUCCUUACAGAAUAUCCAAGAGAUUCGCAAUGUAGCUUAUGAGUUGGAGCUACCUCAAGAGUUAGCAGCGGUUCAUUCGAUUUUUCACGUCUCCAUGUUGAAAAAGUGCAUGGGCGAUCCUUCUUUGAUCAUACCAACCGAAGAUAUUGGGAUCAAGGAUAGCUUAUCUUAUGACGAGAUUCCUAUUCAGAUUCUAGAUCGCCAAGUUCACAAGUUGAGAACAAAAUAGGUAGCAUCAGUCAAAGUCUUUUGGUGGAAUCAAUUUGUUGAGGAAACUACUUGGGAAUCGGAGGAGGAUAUGAAGAAGAGAUAGCCACAUCUCUUCGAAUCAGGAGAAAUUCCAGAACAAGGUACUAAUUCAUUUCUUAGUACUCUUUAACUUAUGAGAUUGCAUGUUGUAGUUGCAUUGGUUGUUGGCUGUUUGAACUGAAUGUUAGAUGUUAUGCCCUUAACUUACUAAGAGUAAGCUCAUUCGAGGAUGAAUGUUCCCAAGGGUGAGAUAUUGUAACACCCGGUAACUAGAAAGAACUAAAAAGCAAAUAGUCAUUUUUGGAAAGCAUAAAAAUCUCGAAAUAUUUAAGUGUGUUAAAGUUGAGUUUUUGGUCAAAUUCAAAUGACCAUAACUUCUAGCUCAGGAUGAGUUAAGUGUGUUUCCAGAUAUCUUAGGAAAUAUAUUGGAAUAAUCUUUCCAACGCUGCCGAGUUUACGCAAUUCUGAGUUCGUAUUAGUGAGUUAUGCCCUUUGGAAGUUGGGCUGUUCAAAUAAGGAAAUGUCCAAUCCAGAUUUUUAAAGGGUGUUUUGGUCUUUUCCAUACCAUAUUAUUUUAAUUCAUUUUUGGUGAAUUAAUUAGGGGUCAAAACUGAAUUGGUUCAGUUUAGGCAAUUGGAGAUUUACGCUAGGGUUUUUGGAGAAUGAACGCAAGAGGAGAAAAGAGGAGAAAGAGAAAAGUUCGUCGUUCUUGAAGGUUUUACUUGUGGAUUUCGACAAGGGUUGAUCCCUAAAGAGGUAUGUGAGUCUUUCAUAGCAUUGAGUUCGUUCACCUACGCGCCAAUCAUGUUUAUUUCAGCGUAAAUUCGUCCUAAAAGAGUUUGAAAGUUGAUGUUCUUGACAUCUAUUCUAGAAUUUGAUAUUGUUCUUGAGUUGGGCUGAAAUUGAGAAGUUUCUAAGAUCAUUACGUCAAAUUAUUGAGUUGGUUGAAGUUAGGUUCUUAGGUUUAGGUACAUUUGCUGGGUAUCUGUAUCUAAAAAGAAUUUGGGAAAAAGAACCGAGUUUGGGCGAAUUGGGGCUGGAAAACGAAGAAGAAAAUUCGUCAGGAAAAUCAGGGCACUGGCUCCGCAUCGCGGACCUGCUCCCCAGAUUUGGGAAAAGUCAUUUCGCGUCGCGGAGCGGUCACAGACCGUUCUGCCUCAAAAAGUAUUUUUGCGACCAAAAUUUAAAUACACCUCGACGUCGUGGACUAGUUUCCAGGCAGUGAUUUCUUGAUCAUUUAUCAUGUUUAGCUAUCUAAAAUCAUUCCUAAGUAUCAUGAGAUCUUUUCUAUCAAAAAUCUCAAUCCUUGAACCUAUAAUUCAAUUCAAGGACCAGUUAAGAGUUAAGUCAAGAGAAGUUAAGAGUCAAGUCAAGAGAAGUUCAUAGAGUUUUCCAAGGGUCUUUUACAAAUGUUUUAACUUUGUUUUAAGACUUGAGUUUGAGUUGAGUAAAGUUUGAAGUUCAUUUCUUCAAAAGAGUAUAUCGGGACUAUGUAUUUCCAAAGAGUAAAAUGUUUUUCACAUUUUAAAGAAGAAAUGAAACUUUGAUUUCCAAAAGAGCCUUUGAGCUAGUUUUCAGUGAAGAGCCUUUGAGUUAGUUUUCAGUUUAAAGAGUAAAUGCUUUCACAAUAAAGCAAGAGAGGAAACUUAGAUUUUCAAGAUAGCCUUUGAGCUCAGUUUUUGAGCAAUUAUCUCAAAUCACAGAAAGAAGUAUGUUUUUUAAAACAUAAGAGCUAGUAUUAUUUUGGGAGUAGUAUUGAGCACCGAUAUGGGGUAGAGUUCAGACAACUCACAACCCCCAUAAACCAUGUAGCCACCAUGGGUAGAAAAGGGUCCUAUUGUUUAGAUGAUUCCUUGAUGCUUUUUAGUAUAGACUAGUAGAUCCACUUAGUAGUUCAGGUUCUAUACUCAUGGCUAAGUUUAGGACGGCCCUGGCAGAGUGAGGCAAAACGCUGUAUCAUCACAAUAUCUCUUAAGUGAUGGUUGUCGGUUAGAGAAACUCUACAAUAGUAUUUUGUAUUCUUUUAUACACAGAUUAUUUGUAUUUUCAUAUACAAACAGAGUUCAUAUUGUAUCUUUGCAUACAUGCAAAAUUAUUAUUGUAUUCCUAGAUACACAAAGUUGCUUUCCAUGUUUUAAAAUCUUUUAUUUAUAUUGCAUUUAUAUUACUGCUUUAUAUUGAAAUCAAUUCAAUUCAGUUGAGUUGAGACCAUGUUUGUUUCUUCAGUUCCUUUUAAGCUUAUGUCUUGUUUUAGAUUUCCCCUCGCAUACUCGUACAUUCAAUGUACUGAUGCCAGUUGGCCUGCAUCUUUUCAUGAUGCAGACGCAUGUAACUAGGAUCAACAUCCAGCGCAUCGUUGAUCCAGUUGAGCACUCAGAGUCUAUGCUAAAAUGCACUUAAGGAAUCAUCUAAAAAGUAUGAUCUUUUACUAUCCAUGAUGGCUACAUGGUUUAUGGAGACGUGAGUUAUCUGAACUCAAACUCGUCCCUAUAUCGGUGCUCAAUAUUACUCCCAAAAUACUCAGCUCAUAUGUUUAAAAACAUAACUUUUUCUGUGGUUUGAGAUAACUACUCAAAAAUCUAUUCUUAAAAGAGAUGAUACUCAAACUGCUCAAAACUCUUUUGAAAAUAUCUGUUUCCUCUCAUCUUAAAUGUGAAAACAUUUACUCUUGGGAAUACUUAGUUGCCAUAUAAUCUUUGAAGAAAUAAACUUUACUCUUACUCUUUACUAAACUCAAAGCUUAAGUCUUAAAACAAAGUUAAAACGUUUGUAAAAGACUUCUUAAAAUAUGGUUCAUGCCGAAUUAUGGACAUGAUGGACAUGGAUGACUCAAUGCAAGGUUUUCACUAACCAUAGAUAAAACUCAAUACUUGGAACUCAAGAACUUCAAUGAUACUGCUCAUUUCAAGAAUGCUUAACUUAGAGGGUUCAUGCAGAAUUAUGAGUAUGAACUACUCAACUCAAGGACUCAAGGACUCAAAGAUACUUCUCAUCUGAAGACAGGAACUCAACACUUAAAGGCUUAGAACUUGAAGAUACCACUUCUCUGAANNNNNNNNNNNNNNNNNNNNNNNNNNNNNNNNNNNNNNNNNNNNNNNNNNNNNNNNNNNNNNNNNNNNNNNNNNNNNNNNNNNNNNNNNNNNNUUAGGAACUCAAUACUCAAGACUUAGAACUUGAAAAUACUACUCCUCUCAAUGAUGCUCAAUUUAUGGAGUUCAUGUGGAAUUAUGGGCAUGAAUGACUCCCAAUAACGAACUAAUGUAUACGACUUUUCUCCAUACUUACUUAUUCAAAACUUAACUCAAAUUGAUGGUGGAUCUAAAAGGAUUCACAAUUGAAAUCAAAGUCUUCCUUGAACUCUACUCUUUAACUCCUCUUGAAUGUGAAUUAUGAAUUCAAGAGUUAUGGUUCAUGAUAUGUAGGAUAUAAAUGAUAGUGUAGACUCAUGAAUACAUUCUCCUCACUCUCAUGCUCACUUACUUGAGUCUUGAAAUAAGUUAUUAGAAAUUGAAGAAGACUCCUCAAAAGGACUCUCUCAAAAUGAUUAAAAAAACUCUCAAGACUUAACUCUCAACUUUACCUUGAAUUUGAAUUAUGAAUUCAAGGUUAUGAUUCAUGUUAUGAAUGAUUUCUAAGUGUUUAGAAGUAGUUUAGAGUGAUUAGAAUUAAAGGGAGUGAAGGUUCACUUAAAAGGGGCUCAAACGGGACAACCGACGGAAAAUGAGUUGGGGCAACCAACCCUGGCGCGUUCCGGGCGCAGGGAGCCAGCCCCUAACUUCAGAGGCUGCAUAUGGGUGCACUGCAGGGGCGCUGCCCCAGCCCCUUGGUCGCAUUUGGGGCGCGCCACCCUAGCCUCUCCCCAGGUCAAGUUCGACGAAUUUUGCCUCUCGUUUUCUGAUCCUAAAUCACUUUUAAUCGAUUUAUUUUCUCAAGUUUCCCUUAAAUUCAAUUACUGAACCUAAGUACACACUAAUCCACUCAAAACAAUCACUUUCAUCUCGAGAAAUCAUCAAAACCCCAACAAGACAAGAUUUAGAAUGAACUUCAAGAACACUUAUCAAGAACUUAAAUCCUUUAACUUUUGAGAGUGAAAUUGCGCUGAAAGUAACAUGUUUGGCGUGUGAGUAAACAAACCCAAUAUUAUGAAAGCUUACAUACCUCUUAGGGAUCAAACCCAUGGCGAGAAUCCGCAACAACACGCAAGAAUCUUGACGAACGCUUGAUCCUCUCCUUUUUUCUCUUCUUUUCUCUUCUUGAACUCUCAACUAAAACCCUAGGUGUAUUUUAGGAUUAUAAAACUGAACCUAAUCAGAUUAGACCCCUAAAACAUUACUAAAAAAUGAAUCAAAUUUGAUUGGGUAAGGAAAAGACCAAAAUACCCCUCUAAAAUUUGAUUUUGAGUUUCCUUAUCUAGACAUCCCAACUUCUAAUGGCCAUAUCUCCCUCAUACGAACUUCAAAUUGAGUAAACUCGGUGGCGUUGGAAAGAUAAUUCAAAAAUAUUUCCUAAGGUAUCUGGUAGCACACCUAAAUCAUCUUGAGCUAGGUGUUAUGGUCGUUUGAAGUCGACCCAAAACUCAUACUUAACUUAACUUGCAAAAUUUCAGAUUUUGCUAUUUCCAAUUUAGUUCUUAUUGGAACUCAAGGUGCUACAUAUAGUUACCUUGACACUUAAAGAAAAUUUUAAUUUCUUGAUUAAAUCUCACUCACUACGAAGAACGGUUUAGGUCUUAGUUCGAAAAUUUUUCUGGGGUGUUACAAAAUUCUUCUUCAAUAAUUGAAUCUAUUAGUUAGUGAACUCGAGUAAAUGGCUAAAAACAUCCCUGAACUAUACCUCAAACUCAAACUACAUCCGUGUAUCAUUACAUUGAACAAAAAACAUCCUUCAACUAUCUAAAAAACUGCAAGUUACAUCCUUAUGUUAACUUUCUAUCAAGAAACUAAUCACUUUAAGUAGAAGCACACAACAUUCCGAUAAAGGCAAACAAUUUUGCCCACUCACUGAUCUUCUCUAUCAAGUAGUAAACUAGUAAUCAUAUUAAAAGGUAUUCUAUGACUAGCAUUAUUGUAGGAAUAUUAAUUAAUUAAGGCCUAAAGAUUUAUAACUUGGGACUUGUUCAACUUUGGUUUGUCCCUUUUUUAAUUUUACUGAGCUUGUUAUUAUGUUGUUAGCUUUUCUAUCAAGACUCUUAUUGAUCCCAUGCUAUUUCGAGUUUGCUUUAUUUUUUCAUUUUCUAAUUAGUACGUUACUCCUCCAACAACAUUCAUCAAAUUUCCAAUACUCUCAACUAAUUAAAUGAAAACUUUAAACAUAAAAAUCAGAUGUAAACCUUGCAGAUUUGUCUUUGGACAUAAAAAUAAUAAUUAUGUGAUACUAAAAUACAAGGAUUUGAACUCUUAAUUAGUGUGUGUUUUGGUGCUGGGAAAAAUAAUUUUUAAAAAUAUAUUUUCAAUUUUUCAUAUUUAAUUGACCAAAGUUUUUGAAAAAUAUUUUAUCUAAGAAGACAAGUUCUUAAAAUAUAAAAAAAAAUGAGUUGUAAUAUCGACGUAGGAAAAAAAGCUCCACAAAUGACAUUUCAAAUUCAUUCACAAAUCCUUUUAGCAAAGACAAUGUUUGUUCUAUGUUUAAGAAGACAGUGAGGGGACAAAAUCUCUUUUCAUUAGGAGAUGGUCGCUAUAUUUUUGAUAGAAAAUUAAGGAGGGAUGUAACUUGUAACUUUCAAAAUAGUUCAGCGAUGGUUUUUGUUCACAAUAAUAAUAUAAGGAUGUAGUUUGAGUUUAAGGUAUACUUAAAGGAUGUUUUUGGCCAUUUACUCUAGUGAACUCCUCCAUUAAUGACUAGUCUAAAGUUAGAUUCUUGUAACUUUCAAUUUUGAUUUUGAUUUUGAACUACCAACAAAUUAUCAAAGUGAUGAAAAGUAUGUGAUUUGGUGGUGGGAAUUGACUUAGUGAUGAAAACCUGAUGAGGGCGGUGACCUGGUGGUUGAGGUGAGCCACCGCUGAUGUUUAGUAUGGAUCUGAUGAUGAAGAUUGAAGGGAAGAGAUAAAGAAGGUAACAAAUAAAUAAAAGGAAACAUAUUUUUAAAAAAGUAGAAUAUUAAUAUAAAUUAAAUAAAAUAUUUAUGAAGUUAAUAUUCUAAUUAUUUUUUGAUCUCUCACUCUCCCAAAGAGAGUGAACUAUACCUUCUUUGCCACAUCAACAUUUAGGGAGCAAAUAACUCCAUUUUAAAAUAGUCCAGGGGUGUAAUAGGACUCUUGUAAAGUAUGAGUGUGUAGUUGGGAAUCCGACUAUUGGUUGGGGGCAGUGGCGGAGCCAGAAAUUUUAAUAAUGGGGUUCAAAAUCUGAGAAGUAAACACACGAACUAGUGGAAGAGGGUUCGACAUCUAUUAUACAUACAUAAAAAAUAAUUUUAACCAUGUAUAAAUAGUAAUAUUUUUCGUCGAGGGGGUUCGGAUGAACCCCUUCAUUACAUGCUGCCUCCGCCCCUGGUUGGGGGGCUUUUGGCCAUUUUCUCUUCUUUUAUAUGGUGCACUAAGUUUCAAGUGUUAGUGCACUUUUAGUCUCUUUAUUAACAUCCAUUUACUCAUUAACGUUUUGAUCGAUCCUUUACACAUCCAUUUAUGGCCUCCGCUGUAUACGUUCUGGUACAAAACAAAUUAAUUCUUAGAUUUAUCUUAGCAAUUGCAGAUGAGUCUUCAUUUAUACUUGUUUUAUUUUUUGGCUCUGCAUCUUCAUUGUUUGGUGUGCACCAUUAAAGAUUUGCUAAUUCUUUAACUUUCUCCUCUAUUUUCCAUACACAAUUAAUAGGCUGACUAAGCCUUUGGGUUUUUCCUGAAUAAAAGUUUCUUGUGCUUUGCCUAUAUGUAUAUCUGGAGCAUAACCAAAGAAUAAAAUAAAAACAAGAAAAAAGGAAAAAUAUAAUGCAUGUAUCAAUAUCUCAAAUUAGAGUCGGAUAAAGGGUGUGUUCUAAUCAAAUUUUUUGGAAAAGAUUUUGUUUAGGAAAACAAGUUUCAUACGUGACACUUCAAAUGAAAAAAAAGACUUUGUUUAGGAAGUAGGGAAAACAAGUUUCAUAUGUGACAUUUCAAUUGAUUAUAUUGUCCGCCCACUCUCUAAGACACCACAUCUUCACCUCAGUACUCCCAUAGCUUCCAUACCCACUACCCUACACAUCUACCCUACCUCCGUCUCUCAUAGUAUUUGUCUAGAUUAUACGUAAAUGCUUUUAGAAUAACCAGCCAAAUAGAGUCAACAGGAGGAGACUAGUAAAGAAGUAGUCAUGUGGUUUUCUAGUCUUUUCAUUAACUAGUCAAUAGUUAUUCUUGAGCUACAUAUCAAGUUAGCAUAUAGAGCAAUUUUGCAGGUAAUUUAAGGAGCAUUAAACAUUAAUUAUCCUUUUCUACUAUUAUCAAUCUACAAAUCCUUGGAAAUGGAACAAUUUUAACUUACCCAAUAUUGAAAUGUGAAAGAUGGACAGAAGUAAAAAGAAUUAGCGUAACAAUGGCAGCAAAACCCUAUAUCCCCAAAUAGGACAAAUUCAGAUUCAGAUUUAAAAAAAUAAUCAGAAAUCUAACCUUAUAAGCUGAUGAAGUAGAAGUGGCAAAAAGAGAUACUGGAUUGAUUGAGUGGUGUUGUAGAAAUACCUCAACAGUUGACUACUUCCUCACAUUUCUUUUGUCAUUAUAUUUUAUACAACUCCUUUUAAUUCCUUUUAUCUAAGUUUUUAAUUAUGCGGUGGAGUAAUAAGUACUUAUUCAUAUUUAGUUAGAGGUUUCGGAUUUGAGUCUUUUUGGCUAUAAAAGGAUCUUUGUUAGGGAGUGCUUUACCCAUAAUUUGAGAUUUUUUGGCACAAAUUCAAAUUUAGUGAGGCUCUAAUUUGGAUAUCGAACACUGAGUGGAAAACCAAAAAAAGAAAAAUUACCAUAGGGCUCAUUUGGUAGGUGGAUAAAGCUACAUCUACAUGGUUUUUCAUGUAUUUAAUUUAUAUAAUGUUUUGUUGGUAGAAUGUUGUAUAAAAGUUAUUCAUGUAUUAACAAAGAUGUUUCUCUCUACGAUAUGUUCCCGCAAGAGAAAGAGUUUGUUAUUUGAGGGGGGGGGGUUAUUUGGAGUCUUUUAACCACAAUUUGAAGCCUCGACAUAUCUCUUUUAUCCAUGGUUCAAGGCCCCGACGUAUUUUUUUUGCCACGGUUCGAGGCCCCAACAUAUCUCUAUUCGCCUUGGUUCAAAUCCUAACAUGUGGUUCAUUUGGGUUCUUCGGGGUGCCUUCACCAAAGUUCAAGUCUGGAAUCAGCCAUUGCAGUUCUUGAAAGCUUUUAAUGUAGCUAGUGUUAUUCAUAGUACUUCUGUGUACUUAUCAGACCUAAGUGAAUCCAAACUCGUUUGAGUUAUUUACUUUCCAAUUGCGCACGAAUAUACGUACUUGCUGGGCUUAUAGGGUCCAGUUAGGUUAUAGAUAAUUGUUUUACUUUACUACUUCGUUCUAUCCACACUUGUGAGCUAUAUAGUUAGAUUUUCUGUUAUUGCUUUGUUCAUUUUACCUCUAAUUACCGUUACUUUCAUAUUGUUUUUACUUUCCAAGUUUAGUCAAACUAUGAUGCCUACUCGACACAUGUUGUUUUGAUAUUCAUGCUACACUCCACAUCUGUUUUCUUGAUGUAGAUUUGAGCACCUGCUGAUAACGGUGAUUCGAGCCUAAGUAAUGCGAAGAUCUUCUGAGAUGAAGGGUGAGUUGUUGGCUUCCUAGUUCGACUUAUCUCCAUAUGUAUAUAGUUUUUUACCUGUCUUUUGUAUUCGAGACAAGUAUAUUAAUUAGUAAGUCAAUAGCAUAGGCUCUAAACUAUGACUAAAACAUUGAGUGCAUGACAUGCACAUCUUACUCCUUAUUUUCCUUAUUCAGGGCCGUCUUAACCUCUAGGCCACUAAAGCCAUCGCUUGGGGUCCCAUAUAUUUUGGGUCCCCCAUUUUAAAAAAACAAUUACUUAUAUAUGUUAUUUUUUUAAAAAUAAAUUAUAUGUACUAUUAGCGUUAUGAUUUAUGCUAAAGAAAUUGCAUAUGAGAUGAAAAUAUACCUUAAUUUCGUAAGAAACGGUUUGAUGAAAAUAUGGAUAGAGAAAUCACAAAGUCCCUUGAAUAAUCUUUUAGUGUUUAUUGAUUUAUAUAUGUAGGGUAGAUCAAACUAUUUUUUCAUUUCAAAAUAGAUUCGAACCAAUUGAAGCAUAUAUAUGGAAAUAUUUUUGAUUUCUUAUUUAGUAGUAAAAUGUUGAGAUCACUAGAUGAUGAAUUUAAAAAAUAUUGUCUUAACCUUGAACUUUCUUUAACAUGUAAUAGUUAUUCUGAUAUUGAUGGUUUAAAUUUAUUUUUUGAAUUAAAAGUGUUAAGGGAAAUAAUACAAAUAGAAGAUAAUGAUCUAACAAAAAUACUCAAUCAAAUAAAAAGACUUGAUUCUUUUUCAAAUACACAUAUUGCUUAUAGAAUAAUGUUAACAGUUCAUGUAACCGUUACCUCAGCCGAAAGAAGUUUUUUCGAAAUUAAAAUUGAUUAAAUCUUCUUUAAGAUGAACAAUGUCUCAAGAGAGAUUGAAUGAAUUAGCUAUAUUACCAUUUGAAAAAUAAUUAUUAAAACAAAUUGAUUAUGAAACAGUACCUAUUGACUUCGCAUCUAAAGUAGCUAGAAAAGAAGAUUUUAAAUAAAAGUAUAUAGGAUGAAAAAAAUAAAAUAUUAGGGCCCCUCUAUUCAGUUUUCCUUUAGGCCCCUAAUGUUGUUGAGUCGGCCUGGUUAUUCGUACCUAUUUUUUUCAUACUUUCUAACUUCACUAGUACAUUAUCAUUUGUUAAGGAAAAUUAUGUAAACUGAAUAGUAGAUGGCCUGAUCCACUUAUGAGUGAGUGCUAGUUCAUUGAUUGAUACAACUAAUUCACAUUAAAUAAUAUAUAUUACAUUUUUGAACUGUUAAACUAGAAAUAAGAUUAAGGAUAAGGGAACUCUGUAUUAACUUCACUUUUCCUUAUUAGUAUCAAAAGUUUCUCGUUUAGGAAAUAGGAAGUUUUGAAGGACUAAUAUUAUCCUUUCUUUUAAAUUGAACUCUAUCUAAUGGCUGAUUCUAUUUAUGAAUCAAUCCCUUAGGUGCAUUAUUUCCAUAGGUUCCAACAUUGGUAACAAAAUCUAGCUUUCUCGCUUGAAUUGGCAUAAUUCUAUACUUCCCUCAUCUUAUCUAUCACGGAGGCCGCUCCCACCUUAUCCCUUAUAUCCUCAUUCUAAUCUUUAUCACUCCGAGUAUGAACACGCAUCCACCUCAAUAUCCAUAUCUCUGCAACAUGCAUCUUCUAGACAUGAGAGUUCUUGACUGGCCAACUCUCAUUUCCAUACAACAAUUUACAUACACACUCUAUAUAAAUACACACAUACAUAUAUUGGUGGAAAAAUCAUCAAUAGAUGAAACUUAAACAAUACUCUCUCUAUCUCAAUUAAUGUGACAAUUGGAUUUUAUCUUUUAAAUUGUUAAUUAUUGUGAUUUACCUUUUCACAUAAUUUUCAAAUAUAUAAAUUUUAUAUAAAAAAAUUUAAAGCUUCUGUAUCCGAAUUUACUGUCAAAUUAUAGAAGUUUGAAUCUCAAAAUUUCAACUAAUGCCACGUAAAUUAAAUCAACCCUAACACUCAAAAAAGCUACAAAUAAUUCAAACAUAGAAAGUAAAAAAGAAGUAGAAAAAACCUUGAUAUAUAUAUAUAUAUAAAUAAAUUAUAUAUUGAUUUGUAAUUGGUUGCUGUCACUUCUGAGCAAAAUCGUGCACACUCAAUGGAUGCUGUUACAAGUAAUAUUGGUGUACAAAUAACUACCAAAAACAAAGGGAAAAUGCCAAGAGUUGGGGUUGAUGCAUCGCGAGUUGGUUCAGGCCAAAAAAUAAUGGAUUCAGGACACAAACUAAUGGAUACAUCUGAUGUUGAAGAUGCUGAAGAUUCUGGACAGCAUGUUUUGCAAGUUGAAACCAAGAAUGCAACUAAAAAUUGGACACUAGUUGCACACAAAAAUUCAACUAGUAAUCGGAGCCUUUCCCGACUAAUCAAAAUAAUUCUCCAUGUAGUGAAAAGGGUGCGACUGAAAAUUUUCAUGACAGUGAGAAGAGGCAAGAUAUUAGUAAUGCCUCAAGAUACCUAUUUUGUUCGAAUAGCUUUGAUGCUUUAUCAAAGACUACUGGAAAGAAAGUAAAGUUAACAGAGAAUGACAACGAUUUGAUCUAAGAAAAGCAAGUCUCACCACCUACUUUGAAUAGCAAAUUAAGUCCAAAAGCUCCCAUAUUUGUGCCUAAAUGCGUGAUUGUAAAGAAGAAUGAGACAAGGGCCUUAGUGUCAGAUACAAUUGAUUUGAGCGAGGAUUCUCUUGAUGAAGAUGAGGAAGACAAUAUGCUUGAUUUGGGCGAGGAUUCUCUUGAUGAAGAUGAGGAAGAUAUGCUGGACAUAUGCUUUGACAGAGUGGCUAGGGAAGGAGAUAUAUCACCUCGGCAACAAAUAAGUAGAAGCAACAAAAGCAAAAAGAAGACACAUGGAAGGCAACAUAGUUGAGACGGUAAAAUGACUGAGGAGUUUGUUCCAAGGCACCUACCAAUGCGACAAGCAAAGCAGAACCAUUUGACAGUAUCAAUUGGUUCAACAAGAUCCAAUAAAUCCAUAAAGAAAGUAUGAAUUAUCAAGUGUUGUUGGAUAAGUUUGAAGAAGAAGACAACAGAAAAAUACUUUAAGUUACUUUUGAUGGGCAAUCAAUCUUUUUUAAUUCAUGCGUUUGUAAUUGAAAGUUUGAGGUUGAUAACUCAACUUUCUUCUUGAUUGACAUAUUUUUACAUUAUUUAAGCAUCCUAGUUUGUAAUAUCAUCAUGGAGUGUAUUACAAACUUUGUGGUGAUCAGAAAAUACUUAGUUCUCUCUAGCUCUUAUUUUCUUCAUGCUUGUUAGGUAGUAGACGUUAGGUACUUCAUUAGGAUUAGUACGGUAAGGCCUACCCCCUUGCUUGCACUUAUCCCUAUUGAUUUUUUUUAUGUUUAAUAAAAGGCCACUAGACACUGUCUAGUGGUAAAUUUGCGGGAAAAAAAAACCUUGAGAUAAUAUGCCUUGCGAAUUUCCUCUUGAGAUGCUAAAAGACUUACAUCAAGAACAUCAUAAUACUCUGUCUCUUUAACCAUUUUCUUUUCUUUUUCCAAAAUCCCAAUUAACAAAAAACUACUCUUUUACCUCUUCCAAUACUCUGAUUACCUUUUUUUGCGCUUGUAAAAUUUUAAAGUAGGAGCGGAAAACCAUUUGACUGUAAGGAAAAGAAACAAGCCGUGUUGAGAAUUGAUUUAAAAUCUUUUGUUUAAGUUUACUGCUUAGGAUAAGUUUUACAGUAGGUUGAAUAAGUCUUUUACUAGAAUUGAAAUAGUCUUUAUUAGUUACUACUUUUCUGGUAGUAUUUAGUCAAGUGGCGUCUAUUAUCUUUCUGAGUUUGUUAGCCUAUAAAAGGCGUAGAGACUUCUAGUUAAUAAUCUCUCUUCUUCCUACAAGCCAAACAAAAAAAAUGAUGAGUGAUCCAAACAAUUUUAAGCUCAAACACAAUGUUAUAAGAAGGUAAGAUAAGAAAUAAUGUCACAAUAUUACAGGUAAAUCGUUUUCUUUUUCCUGUUUUUCAAUUUUUAUCACUAUAAUAUUAUGUAUGCCAAAUCUCUAAGAUGAGGCCUCAUCCAUUGGUAUGGUAUAGAAGUAGCGUUCAAUUUGCUCGACUGCAUUAUCCUCGCCCUGAGUCUCGUUUCCUCUCUUUAUUGGAACUAGGCUCUCCUUGUAAUUGAAAACCCAACAGCCAGCAAUGAAAAGGUCCAGCUGAAAUCCAAGAUCUGUAACUUGCCUUGUUUUAGGGUCAUAUAGCACCAGCUGUGAAGUUUCUGUGAUCUCGAAAACCAUCUUAUCGUUAUCCCAGAUGUUGAGAGGCCAAUGAGCAUCUAUAUGAGGUUGAAUAGUAAGAACUUUGGACCAAUUUCCCUCUUGUUUCAUUACCCACACAUUGUAUAUGGAUGUCAUUGGUUUGCCAGGGUCACCGGUUAACAUAGCAAGUAAGCCGCCAUGCAAUGUAAGUGUCCCCCAAUGUUCACUUGGAAUAUGUGGGACUUGUAUCUCCCCAAACUGUUCGCUGUCCAUGUCAAAAGAGCGAAUCGUGUAGAUAUCAUCAAGGCCCCUACAAAGCCAAUAAUAAACCCUGUUGAGAUAAGUGGCAUCAAGGGGUGCAGACAAGGUAGAACUGGGAGGGAAUUCAGGAGUAAGGUGUUUCCAUGAAUUGUUGCAUGAGGAAUAGACACAGGCAUAGACACGAUUAUUAGCACCUUGUCCCGGCAUAUCCCAGAAUACUCGAAUCCAUACAACCUUAUAAUCUAGAGUCAACAGGUCAAAUCCCAAUCCAAACU
rnacentral:lncRNA from 1 species